AAUAAAUAAAAACCACCUAUCAUAUAAAAAAUUAUCCGUUACACUCUUUUUUUUUUACAGUUGAAAGUAUUUUUUUUUCACCACUUUUUAUAACUUAUAUAUCAUUUUACUUCUUUUCACUAUAAAUCAAAUCAAGUGAUAUAAAUUUUUUUAUAAAAAUUUUAAGCUACAAUUUUUUGUGCAUCCGGUUCGAACGGGACCGGAACCGCCGGUUCCGGUUCAUAUUUUAACAUUGACAUGAAUCUUAACCGGCCCUUGAACCGUCGGUUUCUGUUCGAUUUCAAUUCGUCAACAGUACGGUUCGAUUCCGAUUAGAAUCGAACCGGUGGCAUGCCUACUACUUCCGAUCUAAGAUUAUUUAUUUAGUUUUAGAUGUAGCGUAUUUUUAAUUUUUUAUUACAGGUUCUUGUAAUAUACCUUGGAAAAAAAAAAAAGAACUUAAAAAACUAGUGCGUCUGACGCCGUAUUCUCUGUUUGGUCACUGAGUUGUCAAUUUGUUGAGGCAUGGUAAACCUGGCAUUAUAUAAACCAUAAAGGACCAAUAAGUAAUUCCGUACCAUCGCAAUCCAAAACCAAAAGGGGAAGGGUCUUCACGGAACCCCUAUAAAUAUCACAAUUUCCUCAAUUUCUCUCAUUUUUUCCGGUUUCACCUUUGUCCUUCCUCUUUCCCGCUCUCUCAAGGGUUAGGGUUUCUCUUUUUCCAAAAUUUCAAUCACAGUAACAAUGUCGACAUCCAAGAAAGUCACUCUCAAAUCGUCCGACGGCGAGACUUUUGAGGUGGAGGAAGCGGUGGCGGUAGAGUCGCAGACUAUAAAACACAUGAUCGAGGAUGACUGCGCCGACACUGAGAUACCGUUGCCUAACGUGACCAGCAAGAUCUUGGCUAAGGUCAUCGAAUACUGCAAGAAGCAUGUCGAGGCCGCCACUGCUGAUAAGGACAAGGAUAAGUCCUCCUCUGAUGAGGCUCUCACGACUUGGGACGCCGAUUUUGUCAAGGUUGACCAGAAUACCCUUUUUGAUCUCAUCCUGGUAAGCUUUUACUUUUCUUUUUAUUUCUUGCCUAGCUUUCACUUUCUUAUUUCUAAUCUUGAAUAAUUUGCUGUCUCUCUUAAUUGUGUGUUAUUUCUUCGAAUGAUACAGUAAGUUUUACUGACGUUGAAUAAUUUUACAAAUUCUCCUCAUAUUGAUUUGUGUUCGUUUUUUGUUUGUUGUGUUGCACUUAUGAGCCUAGAUGUUUGUGAGCACUUAGGUGAAAUUCAGGAUAUUAAUAAUCCGAUUAUGGUUUUUUUUUUUAGAUUAUCAGAAACUGGGUCUUAUUUGCAGUUAGAAUAUAUCUACGGGUAAUGGGUAGAUUAUCCAUACAAUUAGAGACGGGACUCAUUUGCGUUUUAUGUUAUAUGUUCAUUAUAUAAUUGCAAUUUUGUAAACUUUGUAAAUGGUUUGGGAUUCUGAUGAUAUUAAUGUUAUAUAGAAAAUAUAGUUUGGUGGAUUUCUUGUUGAUUGUACCUUUCUAUAUAUUGAUAGCUUCUGCUUUACUGUGUUUUUUAGUAAUAAACUAUGAAACAUGAACCUGAUUUCAAGUCAUGUGCUAGGAAAGGUGAUCUUUAUGUGUGGGGCUUUUACAUGGGUAACUGCCUUCUUUUUGACUUUUCUUUUAUAUGAUUCUGCUUUAUAGCCUUUUCUGUUUAAUUUGCUUUUUUGCUCACCUACUUUUAUCUAUUUGUGCAGAAUAUGUCUUUUACUUUGUGUAUUGUGUGUUAUCUUUCGUCGUCCUCGUUAAAGAUGAGUUGCAAUCACUCAUUUCUAAUUAUUUUUGCAGGCUGCUAACUAUUUGAACAUCAAGAGUUUACUAGAUUUGACUUGCCAGACUGUGGCUGACAUGAUCAAAGGGAAGACUCCGGAGGAGAUUCGCAAGACAUUCAACAUUAAGAAUGAUUUCACCCCAGAGGAAGAAGAGGAGGUUCGAAGGGAGAAUCAGUGGGCAUUUGAAUGAUGAAUGUAAAAUGUCCUUGCAAUGUGCAUAUGAUGGUAUGAUGAUAGGAAUGUCGAUAUACGAUAGGAUGCUGUUUUUGUUCUGUGUCUCUUAAUGUGGAGGAUGAUUGGAAAUUUCCUUUUUAUGGUUGACAGCAUGUUUCUUUGAACACCUUAUUCUAAUGUAAUAGAGUUGAUAUCUAAAUGUGCAUGUCUCAGUUGAUUAUUUUUUUUCGUUGCUUUGCUUUCUUCCUUCAGCUGGUUGCUAUGCAUUAUGAUAAUUGCAAAUUUUGUUCCUGACUGCUAAUUCACAGGAAUGUGAUUGUUCAAUGCAUGGUUUAGCUGAUGAUCAACACUAAGGAUGUAUUGUCUGCUUCUUUAAUUGCUGUCAUUUCUUGCUCGAAUAUGACAGGGUAUAUCAUAUGAAAUAGAUUUUUGAUUAAUCGUGCAAUUUACAUAGGAUAUAAUCAAUUGUAAAAUCAAUAGUUGCUUAUGAAAUAUUUAUUAUUUUUAUUGUAAACAAGGAAAUAUUGAAAGAAUAUCAUUUAUUACUUUUUGAAAUAUACAAAAUGACUUAUAUUUUGAAUCAAAAUAAUAAAUUAAAAAUGAUUUAUAUUUCGGAACAGAGAGAGUAAUCUAUAACUGCCAUCAAUCAAUAUCAACCGUUGAACUAAGUAGACCCAUAGUCUUUAUUGGUUUCAUUCAUUGCUCUUCGCCCCUUCUAGUCUUUAUUUUCUCUUUGGAACCAAUUCAGUUGUUUCCCCUUGUUUUAGGGGGGCCUAUUUUGGUAGAAUUGAGAGAUUCUUAAUAUCUUUUAACCAGUCUAAGGAUUUAUACGAUGAUGGUACAAAAAAAUUGCUUGGAUAUUUCCAUUUGAAGUUUAGAUGUUUUGGUACUAUGAAAGAUUGUUACUCGACUUAUUCCCUCCAUUCCGUUCGAAUUUGAAUGUUCUUAAUUUUUCAUAAGAAUUAAUGUUUAAAUCACCUUAAUUUUAAAAAAAAUAAAAAUAAUUAACUACUUUUUAAUUAAUGCUUAUUUAAUUGAAACAAAAUUUAUUGUAGGAAUUUUUUUUAGAAUAAAAUUUAUUAUAGAUAUUUAGACAAGAAUAAGUUGAAAUAAAAUAAUUAAUGAAAUAAAAUAAUUAAUGCUAUUUUGAUUUUCUAAAAGUGUAAUCUAAUACUACCUUCGUUCCAUAAUACUUGUUACAUUUGUGGUUUCAAGAAAUAAUAAAUAUCUUUCCAUGUUUACCCUUUGUAUAUGGCAAUAAUUAUUAUUUUAAUUUAAUGGUUUUUUUUUGAAAAAAUUAACAUUAAAUUAAGGAUAAUAUAGUCAAUUUACUCAAUAAUUGAUUAUAACUUAGACAAAUUUAAUGUUUUUCUUAAGGAAUGUGAAAUUCCAAAUGUUACAACUUCCUUUGUCCUAUUUAUAUAGAGAAUGUCAAAAUUUCUCUAGAAUUAAUGAGGUGGUCUUUUUGUGAAAUUCUUCCUAAUUUACCCCUAAAAAGAUAUUGAAGUGGUCCCCAAAUUUCAAUAAAAGGUGAUAAAUGAUGAGAGAGAGGAUAUGCUGCUUAAAUAAAGCAUUUUAUUUGUUUAGACUUUCAAUUGCAAAAAAAUGUAGGCCGAUUAAUUGCAAUUGCACACUAAAAUUUCAUUAUUAAAUUUGGCUUGAAAAAAUUAGCGUGGAAGUUGAAAGAAAGUUUGAAGCCAAAAUUUUCUACUUUAAAUUCUUUAUUUUGCUUCUCCAAAUUAACGUAUAAAAAAGUGAAAUUUUAAGUCAAAAGUUUUCAAAACUGAGUGAGUUCACAAUUUUAAAAUUUAAUCCACCAAUAUCAUGGACACAAUCCUUCAUUUUGAUUUGAAUACGGUCCCUCAAUAUUUGCUUGCAACUUCAGAAGAUGUGCCCAUAUUCAACAAUCAACCCUUAGAUUUGAUCUCCUUGUCAUUCACUCAAUAACCGCCUUCUAUAGAAUCUGAAACCACACCACCACCAAGUAACGUUCCAGAAGAGGUUCGAAAAGACAACAAAAGGAAAAACAUCAUUGAAAAUGUGAAAAAUACAGUUUGUAUAUUACUAUUUUCUGAAACUGAAAAGGGCGAGUCAAAUGCUCACAGUAUUCGUAAAGUUGCAGACAUUUUAUCCAUAUCUACUAAGACAAUUUACAGAAUUUGGCAUAACGUAAAAAAUAAUAAUUAUUUUUAUUUAAGCAAUGAAAUUAUGGUUUAGAUUUUGUAUCUCUUUCUUUAGCCAUUUAAGGAGUUCAUGAGAGUAAAUAUAAAUUGCCACAAAUAUUUUUAUUUAAGCACUGUCGUUUGGAGGAAAAUUUUCCUUCAUUCAGGAGCUGUGAGUAAAUUGCACUGUAUGUGCACACUUAAAUGUUAAGCAUAAGCUUCUUAGUGAAAUUUAGUCUGUGUGCAUAAUGUGCUUGAAUCCCAUAUUUUCUUAAUGCACAGUUCAGUCAAUUUUUGAACAUUAAAUGUCAACCACAAUAAUGUCUGCCACUUUCUUAAAAUACUAUUAAAGUAAAUGUUUAAUCUAUAAACUAAAGCAAGAGCAUAUUGGAUUUUUUGCUUUGGCAUUAGUCCCAAAUUACCAUAUUUGGAAAAUUUCUCUAUAUAAAUAGAACGUUCCAAAAGGAAAUUUUCUCUAUAUAAAUAGAAUGGAGGGAGUAUUAUAGAACAGAGGUAGUAAUAGUAAAUCAUAAAUUCUAACAGAUUUUUACUUUUAAAACUUUCAAAAAGAAAAAAAAAACUUUCAUUCAAAUCAAAAUCCUCAUUAUACUAUCUCUGUUCGAUAAUACUUGUCACAUUUAGAAUUUCACUUUUGUUAAAAAAAUAUUAAAUUUUUCCAAGUUACAAUAAAUUAUUGAGUAAAUUGAUUAUAUUACCCCUAAUUUAAUACUAAUUCUCCAAGAAAACCAUUAAAUUGAAAUAAUAGUUAUUGGUUAUAUACAAAGGGUAAACAUGAAAAAAAUAUUUAUUACUCUUUGAAACCACAAAUAUGACAAGUAUCUUGGAACAAAUUAUUUUCUCAAAUGUGACAAGUAUUAUGGAACAGAACAUUUAAUUUUAUGUAUAUGAGAAUCUGUUUCAUUUUUGCAACUAACUUUCAAAUGUUUUUUUACUAUAUAUAUAUAUAUAUAUAUAUAUAUAUAUAUAUAUAUAGAAACACCCCGAAUUUUUAUUUUUGAAACCUUUGAAUUUUUAUUAAAUUAAAAAUCAGAAAUUUUGACUAUGUGGGCUACGAAUAGAAUAUAGUCUCGAUUCGAGCUCAAAUUUGCCAGCUCAGCCCAAGCCCAAAAAUAUAUUAUCGGAAUCUUCGAUACAUUUAAUUUUAUGUAUAUGAGAAUCUGUUUCAUUUUUGCAACUAACUUUCAAAUGUUUUUUUACUAUAUAUAUAUAUAUAUAUAUAUAUAUAUAUAUAUAUAUAUAUAUAUAGACACACCCCGCGUUUUUUUUUAUCCAAAAAUCAAGUAUCAUUAUUAUUAUUGUUUUUAUUGUUAUGGAGUAAAAUGGAGAAAUGUUAUGGAAUCUAACUAAAUUAAUCAAAAUAAAUCGAACCGGGCCCGAAAUUCAAAUUUAUUUUUCGAAAACCACAUGAAUAACCUGAAAACCAAGUAAAAAAAACCUGCGAACCGAGCAAAAUCGAGCCAAAUCUUUGAAUCAGACCAAAUCGGUUCGAAUCGAACCGGAAUGAUCUAGAAAUCGACUUAGUUUCUUCUGUUCUUCCUCUCUUCUUCUUCUUCAGCACGCGCGACAGCCUCCUUCUCCUCCCUUUCCUUCUCAUUUCCGACCCUCGCUCGACGAGAGCGAGGUGGCGAUCGCCUUCCCUGGGGCCUUUAAUCCAUUUUCCCGCCUCCUUCCCCGCUAGCAGAGCCUCCAGUGGCGCGAACGAGACUGUCCCCGUCGACAGUUCUCGUUCUUCGAUCUCUGGCGAUACCAGGCGAUUCUGGCAAUGUGAAGCUUCAAGGUGAGCUCUGAUUGAUUCCUCUGUCUUGUGUGAACAAUUCCCAUCCAAGAAACGACGGUUUUGGUGGAAGGAACUGGAACCGCCAUGAAUAGCGGUAAGGGGCUGCUAUCAAGCUCGUUUCGACCAACUAGAGGGUUGAUCUCACUAAACCAACGCCGGAAAUGGAAUCCUUGCUGAAUUUCAAGUUGAAUGGUAUGAUCGUGGCGAAUUUCUGGGCAUUAUUGAUUUUCUGGCCACUGUAAACGGCGGAGGCGACUGCGUUCCGGUGACCGGCCGGCGAGACUCCGGCGAGGCACCAAGGACAGAAUUUUCCUCUCUUCGCGAGGAUUGUGGAAUCGUCACCCAAAUUUCAAUCGGUACGUUCUAAGACCAAUUUCCUAUUUUUGGUAUAAAUGCUUAAACUUAAUACUUAUUAGUUGAUUAAAUUAAAUUUGAAUGAAUAAUCAAUCAAAUAUAAUUUUUGCUAAGAAUCAAUCGAUAUAAUGUGGAUGCAAAUUAGUUCUGCAUAUUGUUAUAUAUAUUUCAUGAACAUUAGUUACAACUAGAAGGUUCGGUAUUAAGAUAAGAAUUCCUAGCUAAUAUUUAUGUAAGCUAAUUUAGGAAUUUUAAUAAAUAUUGGUAGGGGAGAGUUAUAAUUUAAGGCUUAGACAAGUAAAUAGUUUUAAAGCAAUUAAUAAUAUCAUUGAAUCAUGCUUGGAGGUUAAUAUAGUUUGUUAAUUAGUUAAUUUGGAACNNNNNNNNNNNNNNNNNNNNNNNNNNNNNNNNNNNNNNNNNNNNNNNNNNNNNNNNNNNNNNNNNNNNNNNNNNNNNNNNNNNNNNNNNNNNNNNNNNNUGGGUUGUGUGAAUUGAUUGAUCGAAUAAUUGAUAAAUAAGGUUAUGGCGGACGGGAUGAGUUGAUUUGAAUUGACCGACGGAUGGGCUUAGAUAUUAUAUUGUUGAAUUGUGGUUUAGUCAAAUUUUAGGGGAGGUGCUGCCGAAAUUUCAAUAGAAUCUAGACUAGUUUUAAUUAAUGACAUAAUUAAUAAGUUUAUUUAGAUUAAUUCUAUAACUUAAUACAUAAUAAAUAGAGUGCACUGAUUAUUUAUUAUCUUUAUUAUUCAUUUAAUUAUUUAAUUAUUUAUUUAUUUGCAUUGAUUUUGGAUGUUUAAUUAUGCAUUGCAUUACGAUGUUUAAUUGAUUAAUAUGUCUGCAUUUGAUUGCAAUGUUGGAUUAAUUGUGUUGUGAUAAUGCUAUGCUUUAUUUAUGUGGAAUUGGGAUGAAGUGGGUCACCAUGGGUUUGUGAGACCGUUACUGUUAUAUGGAUCCUGAUUACCGUUACCGUUAUAUACCGUUACUGUUAUAUGGAUCCAUUACCGUUAGCCGGGUAAAUGGCAGAUCGGCGCCCCCGUGUGCACCUACCGUUACCGUUACCGUUAACCAUAGGAUGACUGCUUGUUGUUGCGCACCUGAAAAUCUAGAUUUGAUCGCAGCCCGCAGGGUGGNNNNNNNNNNNNNNNNNNNNNNNNNNNNNNNNNNNNNNNNNNNNNNNNNNNNNNNNNNNNNNNNNNNNNNNNNNNNNNNNNNNNGGCCAGUAUGGGGGAUCGGCUCCCUAGUGCACAUGUGAGUGGAUGAGCCAUGUGGGAGGACGACUCAUCGGGGUUUCGGUGACACCGCUGACUAAUUUCCACGUGAUGUGAUUACAUGAAGAUGUUAACGAUUGUGGGUGCUGAUAAUAUGCAAUUUGUGUGAAUUCAUGUGUUGUGAAAUAGGUAUUCCUUCUUAGAAGGUUCACAUAUCUUGUUUAAUUUUUCAGGAAGUAAGUUUCUCUUCAAUUCGGUUAAGUUAUGUUCCUUUGCGCAGGGCUAGAAGAAAAUUUUUCCAGUUUCAUAAUUAUUUUGCUAUGUAAUUAUAUGUAUAAAAAACUAUGUAUACCAAAUAGUUAGUGACUCCGCAGUUGUAGAAUUUNNNNNNNNNNNNNNNNNNNNNNNNNNNNNNNNNNNNNNNNCUCAAUAUUAUUAAAUAUAUAUAUAUAUAUAUAUAUAUAUAUAUAUAUCAUCAUUCAUGGUUAUGGGAUUACAGUAUAUCUGUUUUGCAACGAAGAGUAAAGCUUAAUUAAUUUUUUAAAUACUUGCCUAAAUCAUUAAGAGCAAUCAUCAAUUAUAAAUUGAUUGCUAAUAAUUUAGCUAAUUUAAUUUAUUAAAUAAAUUUAAAGCGAAAAUUUUAACUAAAAACACUAAUCAAUAUAUAUAUAUAUAAUCUUGAAAAAAAAAAGAAUUUGACUUGACUCUCUCCAUCGAUCCUUCCUAUUUUUCUUUUUCUACAAAUUUUUGAAUUUUCUACUUUAUUUUUUGAAAUUUUUGAUAGGAUGAUUCUUGUUAAUGUUUUUAUAAUAAUAAAAAUUAAUCUAAAAUUAUUGAAUUUUAAAAUUUUUGAAUUUUUUUUAUCUAAAUCUAUGUAGCUAUAUGUAUAUAUCUAUAAAUACCUCCCACUUUCAAUGAUUUUUUCACAAUGGUCUGUCUUCAUAUUGAUUUGUUGUUUCUUUAGAUUAUUUUACUUUCAAUUUUUUGAGUUUUGAUUGUACUAUAUAAAUUUUUAUUUUUUUAUUUUAAUAUAUAUUGUUAUUAUUGUUUUUCAGAUUUUGAAUUACAAAAAGACGAUAUUAGCAAUUUCAAUCGAUAUAUAUCAUGUCUCUUCUUCUUCAAUUAAGUACAAUAAAUUAUAUAAUAUAAAGUAUGUUUAAUAGUAAAUUUUUUCUUGGUCUAUGUAGUUUUUAAGUUUAUGAAUGAAAUGUCAAUAUUUAUUUAUUUAUUUAUUUAUUUAUUAUUAUUAUUAUUAUGUCAUUUCUUUUAUCUGUUUUAAUUAUUAGGUAGGAGAUUAUUAUUAUUUACAUAAAUUAAAAGAAAAAAACAUUAAAUCCAAUAAAUACAUUUAAAAUAACAAAGAGAGCUUAUAAGAUAACAUCUAAUAAAUUAAAAAAUAAUAAAUUUAAUACAUUAAAAAUAAAUUUAGUUACCAUUUAUAUUUAAAAUGAUAUUCUUAUAUCCUUAAAAUUUUGUUUUUAUUAUUUAAAUAUUAAAAAAUUAUUUUUAACAAUCAUAUUUUAAAAUUAAUAGUCAUUGACAAUAAUUAUCUAUAUCUAUAUCUAUAUUUUAAUUUUAAAUUUUGAACAUUUUUGUCUUUUAUUAGAUCACUUAAGAUACUUUUUCUAAGUGUAAAAUUUAAAAGUUUUACUUAUUUAAAAUAAUUAUUUAAUUUAUAUUUGAAUUUUGAAUAUUUUUAAUUUUAUGUUAUGUCUAUGUAUUUAUAACGAUUAUCUGUUUUUAUAUCUAUGUAUCUUCAUCACCAUCAUACUUGAAGAUGAUCAAUAAAAAAAAUUGCAAGUGAAAUAAUUUUAUUCAUCAUCACCAUCAUACUUGAAUAUGAUCAAUUUAAUUUUCUAGCAAUAAUUAUAUGGUACAAAUAUCAUUUAUUAUUUAAUAUUCACUUUAUGAUUUUAAUUUUUUUAAAAAUAAUAAAUAAACUUGGUUUUUCUUUUAUUUGCAGUUGCAAAAAGAUUUGAAUAAAAGAAAUCAUAUAAUCAAUUGCCAAAAUUAUAAUAAUUUGCUUAAGUUGAAAAAUGAACAUAAUUCAUGUUUUUUCUAAAAAAAAAAAAGCCUAAUAAAAAGCACAAAAAUUUAAUUUUAUUAACACACAUAACAGUAAUUGAUAACUCAUCUAAAUCUAUUUUAUAAAAGAAAAUCAAAUAUCCCACGCUGCAGGCCUUUAUCUAGUUAAAAUAAAAUUCUACAAACUGAAAAAGGCAAUUAUGAAAGUUAAAAGUUAGAACUUAGAACAAAAAUUUUCAAACAAUCAUCUGCUUUAUAUAUAUAUAUAAGCCUAAAAAUGAUCACUUUGAGAAAAAAAAAAUCAAGAAGGAAUGUGAAUAAUUUCUGCUACAAAUUAAUAUGGUUAAAAAACAAAUCUAAAUAUUUAAAAUCUAAAAUCUACGUACACAUAAUCAUUAAAUGAUUUUGUAAUGCAAUAAUAAAAGUAAAAAAGGACUAUUAGCAAAAUAAAAAAUAAUUUUUUUUUGUUAAAAAAAAAAAAAUUAAAGUCAGACAACCUGCCUGUGAUUAAUUAGACAAAUAUUAAUUGCCAAUUAUUAAGCAAAUAAACUAAAAAUGUCUCCUUAUAACUAACUCUCAAAACAACGACGAACCAAUUCUCAAAAGAAUCUAAACCCUAACUUUAAUUAACUAAAUAAUAAUUCAUAUUAAAAAAAAUUAACUAAAUAAUAACUAUCCAGUGAAGUCAUGCAUAUAGCUCUUGUAAAGUUCAGCGGCAGCUUUAGCAGCACAAAGACCAGCAGUAAGAUUAAUCUUAUCAUCUUCUAAUCUUCUGCACUCUAUUUCCAAAUCAUUCAUAUGCUUACCCAAUUGCUCGAUAACCGAGCUUUGCCUCCCAACUUCUGCAGAAAGAUUCUUACUCUCUUCUCUUAACUUUCUGCAACUCUUGACUUUCAUUCCAACAUUCUUUAUAGUAAUCUACUGAUGAUUCCACAAUCUGAAUCUUGUCCUCCAAAUCACUUUUCUCACUUAACGUUCUGUUAUAAUUUUUUUCAUAAUCACAAGCAGCACUGUAGUAAUACUGAUGAGCUGAAUUCGCUUCAGAAAGCUUGUCAUUAAGUUCAUUUUUCUCUUCUGCCCAUCUUUUUUGGGCUUCUGCAAAAUCUAACUCCAUUUGUUGAUAAUUUUCUAUUAACUGAUAAACAGAACCAAGCUUUUCAUGUAGUUCUUUUUUCUCCUCAUCAUCAUUUUCAUACUUUCUUGAAUUCUCUUCUUGAACUUGCUCCAACAUUUUUAGACUCUCUUGCAGUUUUUCUUUUUCUGUAGUUUCAUAUCUAAUAUCUGCAAUAAGUUUCUCUUUCUCUUCCACCAACUUAAGGAUUUGCACAUCACAGAAUUUAACUGAGACAUCAAAAUCCUUUUUCAUCUUUUUGAGUGCUUGCUCAAAGAUCCGUUUCUCCAUUGUCAAUUUCUUGAGGUCCAUUUCGAGAAAACCGCAUCCACAUUUCAAUUUAAUUAUUUCUUCGCCUUUUUGGUCCAGUAGUCCAGGUGGUUUCAGUUGUUCUUGUUCUUUUGCUUCUUUCACUUCUUUCUGGUCUGCUACAGUUGCUUUAAGUUCUAUCUUUGAUUCAUGUUUCGAAUUAUUCCUGUUUUGAGCCAUUUCUUGAAUUUUCUCCGAUGUCAACUCAGAUUUCUUUGCUCUUUCUUCCUUAUUCAAGUUCUGUACGUUUCUAAUUUUUCUAUUUUCCACCUCAUUAUUAACAAUAUAAUUUGAUAUGCGUUCCUUGAGAUAAUCCAAAUACACUUUCAUUGAUUCGAGAUGAGCUUUCUCUUUGGAUCUUUCUUUCCUAAUCUUCUCAGCUUCCUCUUUCGAUGCAGCCUCUUUGAUGAUCUCAGCUUUAUCUUUGGAUGGUUCCAUCUCGGUUUCAGUAUUCAAUUUCUUGAUUAGUUCUUGACUCUUAGUAGGAUCCUGCAAAACAUAUUCUGGAAAGUUAAUGGAUAUAUAAAUACUAUCAACAAUAACCAAGGAACUUGAUAUUAAUUCAUUCUAAAUUGAACAGCACUAAACUUGUAUUGUAUUUUGUAUGCCCCAACGAAAUAUAGUAUAGUCAGACAUUAUAUCAGGUUAUUUCAAGAACUUUUUUUAUCAGCAACAUAUAUAUGUAUACUAUUAAUUUAUAUCCAAGAAAAACUUAAUCAUUUUCAGUUUAUAAACCUAAGUUACCUAGUAAAUGCCAGAUAAAAAAAACCUAGAAAACCUCAAUUUACAUCAGAUUGGUUAUGUAAUUACUUAAUCAAAAACACUAAUUGAUAUCAAUGUCAACUCAUGAAAAAAAAAAAAAAAAGUUAACUUUUAACUUUUAGCAUUUUAUGAAAAACUACCUAAAUUAUUAAUAGCUAAACUCUAAUAAAAGCCGUGUUAGUUAAAUAUCUUUUAGCGUAAAAAAAAACUAAAAGCUAACUUUUAGAUGUUACGUUAGUAUUUUAUAAAAAAUUAAUUCCUGUAAAUAGAUAAAAAAACAGCUAAUUUUGCGAAAUAAAUCCAAUUUUAUUGUUGCAGACAAUAUCAAUACAAAGCAGUUACUCUAAUAUAUUGAGAUCAAUAGUCGAGCAAACAAGAAAUUGAUUAAUUAACUCUCUCUCUCUAUAUAUAUAAAUCAAUUACAGGAGAACUUACAUUAGGUUUAGCGGUAGCAAAUUUUUGGAGAAGGCCAUACGAAAGUAGUAUAUGAGAUAUAAUUAUUAUCACCAACGACGUAAAAGCGCCUAAACCCUUAACGUAAACCUCAAUAUCUCCAAAACAACAAUGAAAGAAUAACACAAAAUAGAUCAAAAACCGCGCAAAACAUAUUGUACUAGUACCAUUGGAACUCUGCAAAAGAAAGUUAAUUACUUAAGUAAUUAUCCAUAACUAAAAACGCAUAAUUUAAAUAAAAAAAACAAGCAGCUAUGAUCUUGAAAGGGAUGGGGGAAUACUCGCAAAAGAACCCUAAUUUGGAUACUCACAUAAGUAAUGACGAUGCCAAAGCAGAAAUUAGUGAAAACCAAGAAUGUUAUGGCCAAACGUAAUUGAACUGUAUAUUGACUUAGAGAAAUACAAAUAAAUUUUAAAAUUAUCAGUCGCUCAAUCCAGAAAAUUGCAGUGAAGGCUAUGUCAUCAAGUUUCGUGUCUUCUUCUCCUCUCUUAACAAUAUUGGCCAUUGUUUGUUUGCUUAGCGGAAAAGUAGCAAUACGAAAAAUAUGAUUAGGGUUUUAUGGUUUAUACAUAGGCUAUUAUAUUUUUCCUAUAUAUAGGGUAAUUUUUACAUAAUUUGUUAUGGUUUAGGAUUGGCUGAGAAUCAAAUCGGUACGUGAAUGGAUAAAGAGUUUAUUUUUUUAAAAAAUAGCAAUUAAUCUCAAUUAAUAAUUAAUAAUUAAUAAUUUUCAAACAAAACUGCAAUAGCUAAUAGCAAUGUUCUGUUCUUAUAGGGAAAGUAAUUUAGAUGGGUAUAGGAUGUAGAAUGAAUUUGGUGCUUGGAGGAUUUAUAGAAUCCAUUAAAGACUGAGUCCGUAUAGGUCAAAAUCUUAAUUCUUAAUUCGAAGAAAAAGAAUGGGGUGAUUACAGUGUGAAUUUAGACUUAAAAUUUUUAUGGAAAUCUUUCAUUCCUGCUGCUAAAGAAUAUAAAAAUAUUAGAGAAAUAGAAAAUAUAUAGAAUAAGAAAACAAAGAUAAUAAUUAGUCUGCCUAUGUAGUCUACAAGAAAGAAAAGAGGAGAACUUUGGUUUCCUUGGGUCACUGGCCAUCUGCCGGGAGUUUCGGAUUUAUGGCUUGGGUUAGCAAUGGGACACUCUAAUUGGUUUAAUUUAAAGUUUAUCAAGUGGUUUGGUUUGCGGACCAAUCAUUUCUCUCCACUCUCUUUGAAUUGAAUGUUACACUAUAAGUAAAAUAAUGUCACAAUAUCAGAAGCAAUAUAUUCCUAAGAAUAUAUUCUUUGACGAGAUUCCCACUGAAAGGUUCAAUUGUUACAUUAUAAGUUUAACAAUUUAUAGGUGAGAUUGUCACGCCACAGUUAACAAACAAAAUAUUAUUGUUAUUGUUACACUAUAAUUACAACUAUAGUGUUGCAACCUACAAAUAUAAAAUAUGUACUGUGUCAUUGUUAGUGUAAUAAUAUAUUUUGUUUACACCUCAACAAUUUGAUGCCAUGAAAGAGAUGUUUGUGGGGAAGAAAAAUAUUCUUGUAUUAGGCAUAAGAGGUAUAAGAACUAUAAAUUAUUAAAUGAAAAAAAAAUGUGUAAGAAGUGUAAAAGAGUAAAUUAUUAAAAGAAAGAAAUUUCUUUGUAAGUGCAAGAGAAUAUUUACUAUUCCACUAUUCUAAUCCGUGAAGCUUGGUAAAUUGUAAGUGUAUAUAAAGGAAAGAACAUUGCUUCUCCCAUUUAUCUACAUGAGGAGUGCUUUUCCCUUAGUCUCCCCUUCUUGCUUUGGUAAGGUUUAAUUUUUUUUUUUUUUGUUAAUAUAUUUUGUUACAUAUUUGUUAAUAUAUUAUGUUCAGAUAUGAAUAUGAGUGUUAUAAUAUACUUGUAAACUUAAAGAAUAUAUUCUUUCUGACACUGUGACAUUGUUUUAAUUAUAGUGCAACAUUCAACAAAAAGAGAGUAAAGAGAAUAUUGUUCUAUAAAACUGCUGGACAACAUUAAUAUAAAUUAAAAUUGAUUAUUUUUAUUGCAGUCAUAGUGUAAUAAUGCAUUUGUUAAAUUAUGACUAGAAUAAAAGCCUUUGAAAUGUCAACAAAACAUUGUUAUGAUAAAUAUCAAUAGUUCAUAAUAUAAAUUUAUGGAAAUUUAAACAUCUAAUUUCUACAAUUAAUGAGUUAAAGAUAGCAUAAUAAAAUUAUUUGAGAAAAAAAUUAAAUAAAAUCAAAAUUACCUUGUUUAUGCUCAAUAUUGAAUCACCUCUAUUUAUCUUCAAGACAAGCAACCGUAUCUUCUAUUAUCAACUUGCUGUAUAAAGUGGUUAGAAAUCAAAAGACACAUUAUAGUACUUACCCUUUCAUAAACUAAUGUGGUUAUGGAUUUAUAGCUAUUAAGGAAAAUAAAUUGGGCACGCUUCGCAUUUCAGUGACCUAGCAGCCAAAUUAUGUUAUGCUGUUUAACCUAGCUUUUUAACUACUGAUGGAAGAGCAUUUAGCAUCUCAAAGGGACCUAUAAAAUGCUAUCAUUGAAGUACGAGAAAAUAUCGGUCAAUUAGAGGUUACAAAGCUGACCCAACUGUAGGGUAGAGCAAACCGUUUGUUAAGUUCAAACCGAAAUCACAAAAUAUAAACCGAAGUUUCUUUAUAAUAAAUCAAACUGGAAAGAAUUUUUGUAAUGAAUCGAAUCAAUCGAACUGAAUCAAUCGGUUUGGUCUAUUUUUAUCGUUUUCACCGUUUCAGUUUUGUUCUAAAUCCAAUCACUGAAUAUUUAUGUAACCGAAUUGAACUGAACAAUAAAUUUGAUUCAAACCGAAUAAUCUGACUGACCGAACCUCUCUUGGGCAUCAGACCGAAUAAACCGAAAUGAGUCGGUUUGAUUUUCAAUUCGGUCCUACCGAUAAUUUUGCUCGCCUCUACACAUGAAAAUAUCCUUUUAACCUAAGAAGAUUAUAAUAUAUGUUUGACCCAAGAGAACGUGGGUCGACCUCGGCCGUUCUAUCAUUAUCUAGGCAGCCUACGGUUAGUUAAGUGGGUCAAGGAGCAAAUUGAUAUUUAGAGGACAUCAAUCAAUAUGGCCCAUCUAAAUUUAUAAUUAGACUUGGGCCAAGAUUAUGGAAGGCCUCCAAAGCAAAAGGAAUAUCUAAUAUAUGGUGCCUAUCCUGAAAAUUAUUAAGAAUAUCUUACAAAUUAACUUGAUCAAAUCUUUUUUUUUUCUUUUAAGAAACUUGAUCAAAUCUAAUAUUCUGAAAAUUUUCAAAUACAUUUUUUAUAUUAUUCUAUGCAUCUCUCUAUAACCUACGGGUUGUGACUCAGUUGGCAAUAUAGACUGAGCAGGUGGGAAGAGUUCGGGUUCGAUCCUCACUAAAUGCACUUGCAAUAGAAAUGUGAGAAACCUUAAUUGUGACUAAGUUCCGAGCUGGAAAAAGACAUCCUGAUGAUGGAGUCCGAAUACCGGUAAUUUAUUUUAAGAAAAAAUGCAUCUCCUAUAUGAUAAUCCUUCAUUAAUUUGUUAGACAUAUGAUUCUAUUGCUAGGGAAACUCAUUCUACAAUAACAGUAGCAACAUGUAGAAAUAAGUGUAAGUAACGAAAGUAAUAGCUAAAAUGAAUUAAGAACUUAACACUAAAAUAUUUAAAAACUUUUCAGAAAAAAAAAUUACUGCUCCGUUUAUUUCUGUAAACUAACUUACUGAAAAAUAUUUUUGUGGAAAACAUUUUCCUUGAAAAAUAUUUCUCAAAUAACUUAUUUUCUAUUAUUUGGUUAUAAUAUUGAAAAUUAGUUAAAAAUAUUAAAGUUUUUAUCUCAUAAGAUCAUAAAAGAUAUUAAUAAUAAUAGACAUUUUAUAAUUUAAAAAUUUUAUUGUUAAAUAUGAAAAGCAUGCAAAAAAAAAAUGUAAAUUAUGAAAGUCGUCGGUGGCUGGUGGUAAAUGAUGACUGGUGGUAGUGACUACGAUGAUUAAUAAAUUAAAAAAUAUAUAAAUAUAUAAGGUUUCCCAAUGUCCGAAAAAUGUUUUACUCUCUCAAAUAUGAGAAGUUAUUUCCUUAAAAAAUGACUUAAUUUUCCAUUGAUUAGGAAAACAUUUUCCAUUUACACAUUUUCCUGAAUACUCCAAACAAUGGAAAAUUGUAAAAAAUAUUUUCUGUAAAUUAUUUUACGAAAACAAACGGACCCUAACAUGAAAAAUAAUCUAAAUUUCACAGUCCAACAUGGCCUAUUUCGUUUUCCAAAUGAGCUAACUCAUAGAUGUUUUAAGUUUAUUAACUAUUUAAUAAUCAAAUAAUAAUUUGCUAAGUGAGGCAUAAUUUUCCAAAAAUAACUUAAGAAAGAACAUGAGUUAAUAAGAACUAAGAGAUCGUACAUGUCUUAGAUUAUCUAAUAUAAUUUGGAUUAGACAGAGGCUGUAAAAGGCAGGGACGAGAAAUUAAAAAAAAAUAAAGAAAUAAACAGAAAAAAAUAAAUAAUUUGUUUCAAGUUUGGUAGUUACAUUUUAGUGAUAUUAAAAUACUUUUUAAUUUAUUUUCAUUUUUAACUCUGUCAAGUGGUUGCAUUUUUCUAAAAACAAACACAUAAAUGCGUAAACUAAUUUAAUUUAGUGGUUAAAAUGCAUUUACUUACUUAAUCCUGGUGAUUGUAGAAUUGAGCCAUAGAAUUAAACAUUUUAAGACUCUAAACAAAAGAACAGGAGUGAGAGGAUAUCUUUAGUAGUAAAAAUAAACAAACAUAUACAGAAUAUAAAGAAUUUUAGCGGAAAAAAAAGAUCCAUAGACCCUUUUUAAUAUGUAGAUUGGUACUGUUAAUAAUUUUAUGAUGUUUGAUCAUAUGAAAUGAGAAAACAACAAUCACGUAUUAUUUUGUUACUUAGAUAAUAAACGAAUGGUUUUUGCUUGUGAAACAUCGUAACAUUAUAAUAGAAGAAUGCCUUAGGUUUCAUGCCGUAUGACAUACAUAGAAUAUUCACCGAGAAGUUCGCAAUUAAAAGAGAUAAUUUAUAUGAAUAAUAAUUAUAUAAUAAAUAUAAGUGACAAGAAUUCCUUACAAAAAGAUAAUAAACUGUUAAAAUUAAAUUGCAAAAAUCUUCGACUAUUUUCAUUUACUGAAAUCUAUUCUUAAUAAUUUUAUUGUCAAUAUUAUCAAAUAUAUAUCUUUUAAGGGUAAAUCAUUAAAUAUACUCCAAACUUUACGUAUUGUAAUAAUUACACCUUAAAAUGAACUUAACCUCUCAGGCACCCCAAUUUAGGCAUGACCGGUUCAAAAUUUUUAAAAUGUUGAACCUGAACAAGUCCUUGAACAACCGGUUCCGACUCUGGCCGGGUCCGGUGCGGUUCCGUUGAACCGACUGUUCCGAUCAUGGUUUCCGGCGAUAUAUGUUUUUUUUUUAAAAAAAAAAAUCAGUUUUAACGUUACAUCUUUUUUUUUGAAAAUAUUAAUAUGAGUUUAAAAAAUAUUGGUAAAUUUUAUUUUAAAUAAAUUUUAGAAUACUCAUACUCAUAUAAGAAUAAAAUUAAUUAAUUUUACAAAAUAAUCAAAUAAGUUAUCACUUUAUUUUGUUCAAAUUUUAUUAAUUAAAUAAAUUAUAAGAAAAUUUUGAAAAAUGCUUCAAAAGAAUGUAAUUUUAAACUUAGUAAACAAUUUAAAAGGGUAAAAAAAAAAAAAGAGUUAAAAACAAUAUAAGUUUAGACUAAAUAUUUCUCUCUUUUUUCUACCAUUUUACUUUUUAGAUUUUUAACUUUUAAAGUAAAGUGUAUUUAAAAAAAAAAAAGAACUUAAGUAAAGUAUAUCAUGUAGUAAAAUAUUAUUGAGACUUUUAGAGAUGUAUAAAAUAGGCUAAGUGAUUAUUAUUUUGAAAAUAAAAAUAAAAAAUUUUCGGUUCAAAUCGAACUGAAACCGCCUAUUAACUGACGGUUCAGGUUUAGAUUUUAGCAUUGACAUGAACCUUAACCGGCCUUUGAACUGCCGGUUUCAGUUCAUCUACAGUACAGUUCGAUUUUGGUUCAAAAUGAAUCGGUGGCCAUUCCUACCCCAAUUGCAAACUUUUGUGAAAAUUGUACCCUAAUUUUAAUUUGGUCAAAAUUAAAUAAUAAAAUAAUAUUAUUAUGGGACCUAUAGUAACUACUUGGGUUGAAUUAACCAUGCCAUGGGUUAAGUGAAACAGAUUGUGUCACUUAAGGUUGGCUCCCUCACUCUCCUUAAUCUUUCUUUUCUUAACCACUCUUCUCCUUUACCUCACCUUUCCAACAAAACGACCAGUAACAUAGAAGAUCAAAGCACACAGCAAACUAUAAUUUUAAAUCAAACAGUAACACUAUGAACACAAAAGGGCACGAGUUAACCCUUUAGUGCUAUCAUAUAUGCUUCCCGAGCUAUUUUCUAGUCUCUCCUAAUAGUGACAACUUCGCCCUUGUCAUAUUAAAACUUCAUGGUGAGAUACUUGAUGCAUGUGGCCGCUUCCAAUUCAUAUACGGCUAGUCUUCCCAAUAUGACAUUGUAUCGAAAGUGAAUAUUUGCUACCAUGAACUCCAAUUUGAGUUUCCUUGAUGAGACUUCGGUUCUGAGCUCUAGAGUUAUGUCUAUAGAUCUAGACACUUGUACAGGUUUUCCUGCCAAGCCGACUAAAGGGGUUUGGAAAGUUUUAAGUUUCGCCUGGUCUAGUUUUAAAGCCUUGAACACUUCCAUGUUCAACAAGUUCAUUGCACUACCUCCAUCCACCAAGAUUCUUUUUACUAGAAAGUUUUCCAAAAUUCCCUCAAUUACUGGGGCAUCAUUGUGUGUGGUAUUUACAAGUUCACCGUCAGCCUCAGAGAAUGAUAUGGGCGGCCUAACACUUGGUUUUUGCUAGAGUAGAAUGGAAUAGAUUUUCCUGGCUCUCAUUUUCCUAGCUGAAUUACUGUCACCUCCCGUUGACCCACCAAAUAUGGUGUGGAUUGUGCCCAGGGUAUGACAUUCUUACACCUGCUUGUCCUUUUGUUCACUUUCUCUCCGAGCUCUCCCAACAAAUUACUUUAGUUUGCCUCUUUACACAAGGCAUUCUGUCUCUUUCUUUAAUUACCAGCAGGCUUCAAUCUCAUGGCCUACAUCGCUAUGGAACUCGCAAUACUUGCUCUUAUCUCGAUAGCUCGAGGUAUCCUCCUUUAUCUUUCUAGGAUAAUAGAACUGAAUUUGAUCGCAUUGUUCUCUUACCUGGGCCAAUAUUUCUGAAUGCAGUCUAUUCAAAUGGGUAAACUCCCGAUCUUGUUGUGGUUUGCCAUCUCUUGAGUAUCAUGUUCGAAUAGAGUAACUGGUUUGUGGGAACCAGAUGGACGACCUCCUUCGGGGCGAUCGUCUCCUUACCGGGGAUGGGUGUCUUUUGUGUCUAUACCUCUCUUCUUUGGGCGAUCUAUGCUGUUGUGCCUCAUAGACUUCAUCUAGUUUUGUGUAUUUGUGAGCUCGUGUCAUGAGUUUGGUGAAUGUUAAGGGAGGGUCUAUACUUAAACUCUCAAAUAACUUGUUGUACCUGCAAUUCUUUGCCUUGUCGCUAAUGGCCACCUUAUCAUUCAAGUUCUCCAUUUGUAUCGCCAUUCUUUAAAAUUUGGAUACGUAUUACCUUAGGGUCUCCCCCUCUUCUCUUUUUAAACUACAAAAGUUUGACAAUAUUUUUCUGGAUGGUACACAUGUUAUGAAACGAGCUCGAAAUGCUGUGGCUAACUGGGAGAAGUAAUGAACGGAUCAUGUUUUGAGUGCUUGAUACCACUCUUGAGCUGCUCCUUUCAGGGUAAUUGGGAAGACUUUGCAUAUUAGAUCCUCCAAGUUUAUUUGAAGGUUCGGAAGAUCGCCAGAUGGCUUUGGGGAUCGGUAGAUCCAUCAUAUGCUUGGAAAGUAAGAAGUUUGAACUUCAAUGGGAAGGCUACAACCAAAAUAUCAGCUGACAAGAGCGAGUCUUGUCGGAGACCAUAAUCCCCUGUUUCUUCUGUGUCUCUACACUCUCGAACUAAUUCUUUGACAACAUUCCGGAGAUUAGCUCCGUCCAAGAUUGGCUGAGUGUGACUUAGCUCUUAGUUGUUGAGGUUAGUCACACUAGGGUCUACUUCAGAUUCUGCCUCAUAGUAUCGAUCAAACAUUGAAUGACUUUAGUAUAUAGGCGAGGUUGGAGGGAGGCUAUGUUCUAGGUGGGGAGGGUUCACCAGCUUGGUGGGUGGUACUAGCUCGCUGCUUGGCUUAGGGUUCUUCAAGAGGCGUUUGGUGGUGAACUGUGAAUAAGCAUGAGCUAGAGCAACUGCUACCUGAAGAUCAGUGGUCAUUGGAGAGGUGAAUGUGGGUUGUUGGUUGAUCCCACCAUAGGUGUUGUCUUGGCCUUUCAUGUUGAGGCAUUCACUGUACUCGUUAGCCAUAGGAACCGAGAAAAACUAUAGGGAUUUUUUUUUAGAGUUUGAAUGUAUAUUCCACCGAUUCCACGGUCAGACUUUAAGGUGUAGUAAAUUGUGAAACCUUUCUUAGAGUAAAUUUGGAGUAUAUAUACACUAGGUCCAGGACAAUUGUAUUAGGAUAAGAAUUACGAAUCCUAUAUUAUCCAUUAAUUAGAAUUUAUUUGAAAAUGUAGUAUUAUUAUUUUAAUAUAUUUUAUUAUUGUAUGUUAAUAGAAACAAUGAAAGGAAAAAAAAAAAAAAAAGGAGACAAUGCUGUCAAUAAUCGCUCAACCAUACCUUUUAAAUCUCCACGCGGAUACCAGAAAAAAUGGGCUUAUCAUGCUAGUAAAUAAACAAAUAUCCAUUUUCUUAUUUGAUUUUGUACCCAUAACUCAAUCAUAAUGCUAUUGUUUCGAAAGAGAAUGCAUAGAAAAAGGAGUGCAAGGGAAUCAAAUCUUAAGGAAGCAGACCUGAUAUUCGAGAAGAGGAGAUUUGGAGAGAUGGAGAUUGAGAAGAAGAGGAAUAGUCUUUGUCUUAUCAAAAGGGUAUUUAAGUCUUUCACUCAGCAUUUAACGGUAAAAAUUGCUAAAAUUAAACUGAAGGACCAUUUAAUGAGACAGAACCAAAAGAAAAACAUGAGGAUGAGUUAAUUAAUUUUGUAAAAUCUCAGGAACGAAAUAAUUAUUUUUCCUUAAUUAACUUAUUAAAUACUACAAGUAAGUCAAAUUCUAUAAUUCAAAAAUAAUUCAUUAAACUCUGUAUAUUAUAAUGCAUCGAGAGAAAUUAAUAGUUAUUAAAUCAAGAAUUAAUAGACUAUGAAAGCCAAUAAUUAAAAAAGAAACGAAAUUACAAAGUUAAAUAGGAUUUUAAUUUUUUUAAAAAAAUAAUUAUUCAAAUAUUUUCCGUUUAUAAUUUCAAGGGGCCAUUUGCCUCUUGCCCAAAUGUGGCUCCGUUCAUGCUUAUUUUGUUAAAAUAAAAGUAGUUACACUGCUAUGGCGUUAGCAACAAUAGCUUUGAUAAUAAUCUUAUCCCUUUUUUAUAAUUUUAUAAAAAGAAUCAACGUCCUUCAAUUGAUUGAAAUAAGAAUAUAGUUUUAAAUUAGAAUCCAGAAACAAUGUAACUUUUAUUACCUAUCAAGAUUCCAUUUGUUUCUCAAAAAUAAUUUGUUUGAAAAUUAAUUUUUAAACUUUUAAUGAUUUGGUUACUUAAAUAAUUAAUUAAUGAAAUAUAUAUUCUUAAUUAAAUGAAAAACUCUUUUAAGAAAAAUAACUUAUUAUUUUUAAAAGAUAAAAAUAUUUUUUUAUGUUAACAAAUUUAUUAUAAUCUUAUAAAAACACAUUUAUUAAUUCAUUAAUUAUGAAUAUUCACCAUCACUAGUCACAGGCAAUUACUGGAUAUUAAUAAUUAAACUUUUUAUGCAUUUUUCUCAUAUUUAAUUCUAAAUAUUUAAAAUACCUAAUUUGUGCAAUUAUAAAUAUUUUAGAUUCUUAUAAAUUAAAAUUUUUAAUAUUUUUUAUUAGUUUUUAAUUCUACAACCAAUUAACAGAAAAUGAGUUAGUAAGAUAUUAAAUAUUCUUCAAGAAAUAUAUUUUACUUUGAAACAUAUUUUCAAAAAUAAAUUAUUUUCUAGCAACAUGCGGCUGUAAAAUUUUUAAUUUGAAAAGGAAACAGUAAUGGAAAUUAAAAACCACCCUUAGAGAAACCCAUGAGCUGCAUCAAGCAUGCAAUAAGCAUGGAAUAAAUGUCAAAUCCCACCGUCCAUAACAAAUCCACUAAAAUGACAUCCAAACCCAUCAUCGUACAAAAUGAAAUAUAAUAUAAAAACAUAAUAUUCCAUCCCCUAAUUAACAUCAUCAUAUUAUGUACGUACCAAUGACCAUACGAUACGAUUUAGAAUUUCGCAUCUAAUAUUACACGGUCCAAACCGCCCCAAUUCAUUAAUUUUAUUUAAUAAAUUUAAAAUAGAUGAGUGGAUUAAGACUGCGUUGAUAUUAGGUUUGAUUUUAUAAGAUCAACCAAAUCCCGAUUUAAAUUUAUUAAAAAUUUAAAAGAAAGAAGAAGAAAUCGAUUGGAUUUGAGACUCUCUAUGAACCUGUUUUGAUGACGUAGUUUGUUUACUUUUUGAUUAUAUUUGAUUCUUUGUGUAUAUACGACGUCACAUUAAUGGCACGAUGAAUGCAUGUUUCCUUUUCAUGCAUUUUGUUUGGACGUGUUUGGUUCAUUCAAUUCUUUGUUUUAGUUCAAUAAACCGGUGGUUUUUGGACUCUUGACGCUUUUAAAUCCGUCCUCGUAUUCGGAGCUUGCUGGUUUUGUUCUCAUUUCCAGUUACGACGCAAUUCUAAAAAUGCUCAGUUCCGGCCAGUCGUUGAAUCUUUUUCAGUCUUUCUUUUACUGGAAUCGAUCAGCCUAUUGAAUUGAUAAUCUUGAUAUAAUUUAAGUCAAGUCCAAUACCUUGAUUUCGAUAUUUUCAGAAUCAGAACUCUCAAAUUGAUUUUGAUCCAACUUACUAAAUUGAUUCUCAUACUAACCCGACCUGUGGCUAGUGUUAAUUUUGUUACUAAAAUAUAUAUAUAUAUAUAGCUUAUUGUUUAAAAAGAAAAAAGACUUAAUUUAAUAUAGGAGUUUUUUUUUUUUUCUAAAUUGAAAUCAAAUAAUCCUAAUUUUUUAGUUUCCUUUGUUUGGAUGGAUGAAAUGUGAUUCACGGAUUUGAAUGAUAUUUUUGCAAUGGAAUUAAGUUGUCUAAAUUCCAUCAUUAAUUAAAAAAAUAUGGUCUUAGAGAAAUUUUACCUAUUAAGGGGUUUUUUUUUUUCCUUCUAAAAUUGUAGAACUGAGGUUAUGAUUGGUAAAUUUCAUGAAUAUUUUUUCUCAACAAACAAAAGAAUUUGUUAAAUCUGUAAUAUUUAAAUUGUAUCAUUCAAAUUUUACUAAUCAAAGCAAUUUCAAAGUGCAUUUCUUAUAAUAAUAACUUCAACAAAUACCCGUGAUAACUUGGUCUAAUAGUUAAAGCACACUAGAUCUCACUAUGAUGAUCGCAUGGUCGAAUUGUGAAGUUGGCAUAUUAAAAAGGUCUUUUAAACAUAAUUGCUCUUCGGCGCAUAAGAAAGUAGUCUCUCGUCUAAUAUUAUAACGCCUUCUAUACUUACUAUGAUUACUUGCCUUUUUUUCAAAAAAAAAAAAAAAUUAUAUACACAUAUUGUUUUUAAAUAUAAUAUUAUGGCAAGGGAUUGAAUUACAUGGGGAAAAAAAAGUAGAAGAUUUAUAGGAUAAACAAUAUAAUAUUUACAGUUGCGCAUCCAAAAUUACACGGUCCAAACCGCCCCAUUCAUUAAUUUUAUUUAAUGAAAUUAAAAUAGAUAAGUAUAUUAAGACUCAAGAGAGUUAAAAAAAGAAAAGUUAAAAAAUGAUAAUAUAAAAAAAAGGCAAGUUAAGAGUUUGCCUUAAUAAUAAAAUGAAAAGUAAAAAUAUUACAGCGGUUUAUGAGCUGGCUUUAUUUAUAAUGAUAAGUAUGAUAUAUUAUCUCUGUUUUUAGUAAUGUAAUAUGAUAUGUUAUCUAAACGCAUGGAUAUGUUAUCUAAAUGCAUGCAUGUAAUUAUAUAUGUUAUUUUAUGAUGUGCUUAAUUUUUCUCGUGUUAUAGUCGUUCAUGUAAUUUUUUAUUUAUAUAAUAUUAAAAUAUUUUUAAUAGUGAUUAAUUUAUAUUGCAUUUUAUAUAUAUAAUAAUUUUUUUUGUUACAUGUCUUUCAAUGUAACAUUUAAUUAAAAAGAACCACUCAAAAAAAUAUUUAAUUAAAAAGAAAAUGAUACUUAUAUUAUAUUUUUAAAAUAACACUUUUUAUUUGUAUUCUCUUUGAGCUAUUGAUUCACUACAACGUGGAAAACAUCUGUUAAUUAGGUAAACUGAGUUGAUAUUAGGUUUGAUUUUGUAAGAUCAACCGAACCCCAAUUUAAACUUAUUAUAAGAAAGAAGAAGAAAUAGGAUUGGAGUUGAGAGUCCUUAAUAUGAACCUGUUUUGAUGACGUAGUUUAUUUACUUUUUGGUCGUAGUUGAUUCUUUUUGUGUACGUACAUAUACGCCAACGUCACGUCAAUAGCACGCAGAAUGCAUGUUUCCUUUUCAUGUAGUUUGUUUGGACGUGUUUGGUUCAUUCAAUUCGUUGUUUUAGUUCAAUAAACAGGUGCUUUUGGAUUGCUGAGGUUUUUAAUAAAUCCGGGUCGAACACCUUGAUUUCAGUAUUUUCAGAAUCAGAACUCCCCGAAUUGAUUUUUCUAAAUAUAGCAGUAAUAUAUUUUUCUAAAUUGAAAUCAAAGAAACCUAAUUUUUUAGUCUCUUUCAUCAAAUUGAAAAAACAAGCACUUAUUUUAAUUAAUAAAAUUUGAAAUCCAUGGAUUUGAAUGUUAUUUUUCAAUAGAAUUAAAUGGUUUAAAUUCAAUCAUUAACGACCAACAAAGUAUUGGUUAAGGUGGUAAGCAAUCUCGAUGUCCAUAAAGGUGUCAGAUUGUGACAUCCUUUUGUUCAAUUUCUACAUAUUUUCCAUGAAAUACUUUAUGAAUGAUGAAAAUCUAAUAAUAUAACGGAAGCAAAAUAUGGAGAUAUAUUAAUAUAUUUAAAAAAAAAAAACAGAAACAGACCAGUUGUAUUUCAUAAACCGCAAAGAUGGUGUUAUAAUUCUUCCAUUUGAGUUUUGGCUUCUCGAGGGCAAAGGCAUAUACAAAUUGUGAAAAGCUCUUGAUAGUGAAUGAGAGCUGGACGACACUAACCUAAAAUAUAGUUAUAUUAGCGGUGGUGUGAUAGUUUCACAGCACCUAAAACUAUGUUACUACCAACUAAAACGUCACGCUCUUCUUCCAAAUAUGCACCAACUUCAAAAAAUUUAUGAUAAAAACAAAGUUUAAACAACAUUCCUUUGAGCAUUUAUAAUUUAUACUUUUAUUUGGGUUAAUUAGGUAAUAUAUAUCUAUCCUUCCGAUGUCAUUAAUUAAAAUUAUUUAUACCGUUACUAACUUGGUGAAUUCGAGUGUAAUCUGAUUUAUUUUCUUCUUUUCUGUCAGAAUGUGAGAGAUUUUUUUAAAUCGAGAAUUUAAUGAGUCAAAGAGAGACCUAUUUAUUUUGGUUCAUUAAUUCUUAUAAUGAAUAAAAAAAAUAUACCCUCGAACAUGAUAAUCACACCAACGAUUAUAUGAAAAGAAAAAAUAAAUCUUUUUAAGUGAAUUCAAUGAAUACAUUUUGAUCAACAUGCUAAAAUAUAAAUAUCAAUAUUCUAACUUGUAAUGCCCUAGAUUUUUUUUAUUAUCUAAAAUAAAUAAUGCAAGUGACUAAAAUGGUUAUUCAAAUUGAUAAAAUUCUACUUAUUUUAAUUUGAGUUCAUGAAUAUAAUGCUUUUACUAUAAUGUAGAAUAAAAGAUUUCUGUAUUGAUACAGAACUCAAAUAAUAUGACACUUGUGCAUAAUAUAUAUAUAUAUAUAUAUAUAUAUAUAUAUAUAUAUAUAUAUAUAUUCUAUACCUGACGAGAUUGAAUUAAACGGAAAAAUUAAAAGAUUUAUAGAAUAAAAAAAAAAAAAAUUUACUGUAAGCUUUAAUUACAAAUGACUGAAAAAUAUUAAAAUUUAUAAAUUAAAUAAUAAAGAUAAAUCUUAUUAACAUAAAUUUAAUUUUCAAAAUUAUCUAAUUCUACUCAUUUAGAAAUAUUAACUCAAUUAAAAAUAAGUGAUCAACUUAAAUAACUCCUUGAAUUAUGGUUCAGCAAAUUAUAUUUACAUUAAUAAUCUCAAUUAUUAAUAUCUUUUUUGAUAUUAAUAUCAGAAGUUCAAAUUAUGAGUGUUUCAAGUAAUUGCAUUUAUAUUAUCGUUCUAAUUUAAAUUAUUCUUAUUUAUAAGAAGUUCUUAAUCUUAAUUAGUGCUAUAUUGUUUGAGAAAAGCGGGAUUCGAACCUGAAUCUAUUGUCGGAUCAUAUAUACACUUGCCAUUAGAAUAUGCUUUAGUGUGUAUGAUUAUAUUUCUAUAAUAUACUAUAAUAUAGAAACCAUAAUGUCUUGAAGUAACCAUAAUGUCUCUUGAUUGAAAAUUUUCCACCUGCAACUGGAAGAUGCUAGUAAAGAAUCUAUGCCUUCAUGUGUAAACUUGGCCGUUGAGACCUUUAUGUAAAAAGAAAGACUAGUGACAUUUUGACCGUAAUUUUUAAGGAUUAAACCUAUAAAAAUAUCCUCAAUGUAACAUCCCUUCCCGGUCCACCCAUUAACCCUAAUGAACCGAGCCGAGACGCUACAAUUUGGUUGAACCUAUGUCCUGUCAUGCUGAUAUCAUCCUGUAUGCUAAAUAUUAUGUCAUGUUUAACAUCACUCCCAAUUAAACUCCAAACUUCCAACAUCUCCAAAUAAUCAUCAUAACACAAUAACACUAUUAUAUUUUCAUAACUGUAUAAAUCCUCAAUAGUAUUGAAUAUCCAUCAAAUAAUUGCAUUCAUGACAUAUAUCAAGUCUUAAUGAACUAUUUAAAAUAUUUCAUAUUCAAUCAUUUAAUAAGUAUUAUUCUUCUCUCCAAAUACUUACGCCAAAAUAAUUACAUGCUUCAAUUAUAUUUCCAAUAACAUAAUCUCUACAAAUGUAAUAAUUAUACAUGCUAUAAUUCUUAAUUAUAUAAAUCUCAAUCUCCUACUACCAAAGUAGUCACUUCUGCUUUGAUAUUACUCUUCACAUCUUCAAGUAGCAACCACAAUCUUCAACCUACGCGUAAUAAAAAUCGACGCGCUGAGUAUAAAACUCAGUGGUGCUCAUAAUUCACAUACUUACCAAAGUUGCGAUGGCAACUUACUUAAAAUACAAAUUUCAUAAAAUCAUUGAUAAUCAUAGAAUCAUUAAAUUUCAACAUAAAUUUACAUCUAUAGCAAAGAAAUAUCAAAUAAUCAUAUAAUUAAUAACAUACAUAAUUUAGUUCUAAUUAUACCAGAAAUCCUUUACAUAACCAUUUAAUCACACAUAGCAUUAUAUUUUCAUGAUCUUACCUUAUGUUCCUUAUGCUGUAUGAAUUAAAGAAAUAAACAUGUAAGCCCUAUGCUGUAUGAAUUAAAUAAAUAAAUAUGUAAGCACACAUAACAUUAUUAUGACUUAUGUAAUUUUUAGUCAACAUCGUAUAAGUUAUAAAUAAUAAAAUCUCAUAACUGUAUGGCUCCAUAAGGUUAUAGUGAAACCUAAGUGAUAAGAAGAACUGUAUGAAACUGGAUGAAUACUGUAUGGCUGGGCUGCUAUGGCCCAUAUAUAAUCAUAUCCACUCAACGGCCUGUAGCCGGAGUAACAAACUGUAUGGGGCGCAGAUAUGCUAUUCUAUGUCGCGAUAUAGCCUUAUCUACAUGGUUUCUACUUAACCUCAAUGGAGCAUAUUAUCUGUAUGUCAUUAAUACAAUCAACAUAUUAACUUAUUCAUGAAAUGCAUAAACCAUACUGUUUAUCUGUAUGCUGUCUCAUUAUGUAUGUUGCUAACCUGUUUCAUGCUUUCAUGCUUUAAAAAGGAUGUCCUAGACAAUUAUCAGUAAUAUCUAAUGAGUAAUAAUGCAAACAAUUAAUCACUUGUAAAGGAACUUGCAUGGAAAUAAUUUGACUGUUGCACCCGCGACACAACUCUUACUAAUCUUUAUGUAACUUAAUUUAUACCAAUCAAAUUAACAAAAUUCUUGAUUUUAAUAUAAGUUAACUCAGAAGGUUAAAUUCAGUAAAUAUCUUAGGCUGAAUGAAUCUACAUAUGCAUCCCAACAUCAUGUCUAAUGUAGCCUUGAAAUCUGCUAAGGCUGCCUGUACAUGUUUUACAAAUACUAGCAUAACUCUGUCUUCAUAAGUCCAAUUUAGGUAAUUCAAAAUUCUAUGGUGAGCUAACACAUUAGGGUACAAAUAUGUCUUCUAGCAUAUCUCUUAAUUAUGUUAGUAACGUAGUCAAAUAUUGAGCUAAAGUAACAACUUCCAGUCUGCCCAGCUUUUGGUUUCCAGCCUGCACAGUUUAUACCAUUUUGGACAUAUCUUUUAAUUUAUAAGUCCAAUUUAGAUGAUUUCCAAGCUUAUGGAUAGCUAAAACAUAAAGGAACAAAUAACUCUUAUACCACUUCCUAAUUCCAUCGUUUUCGUUUCUCAAACCUAUGAUUCAAGACAUAGAAAAUAUUCAGCAUUAAAUAAACUUUGACCUUUGCUGAGUGUUUAAGACAUAUAAAUUGAGUUAUAGGGCUUUAAAUUAAAUGAAAUUAGAUUAAUUAGAAAGCUAAGACAAAUUUAUACAAAUUUUAUAAAGGGAUCACAACCCAGAUCAAUGUGUAAGAUGGUGAACAAAGACUAGGAACACAGACCAACAGUCUAGACCUGAUUCAGCAGAACCAAGUCAACUGUUUGUUGUAUUUCUACUUAUCCAAACACUAAAACUAAACCAAUCCAAAACCAGAGAAGUCUAAAGACAUAGGGUAACAACUCUCAUGAAGACCUUAGAACAUAUUCUUGCCAUUAUAGUUGUCAAAAUGGGCACUCAAGUCAGUGAUGCAUGUGGCCCGUCAUAACAGAGUCAGUUUGGGUGUUUUAGCCAUAAGUGGAGCUAUAUAUAUCCAAAUUGAACAUAAGAGGAUGGGUUGGAAAGCUAAGAAGUAGACCUACAACUUUCAUGAAGAACUCAGAUACAACUGGAAAAUAAAAAGGAUCGAUACAUAGUCUUUAAUGCCACCUAAUAACACUUUUUCCCAAUUUCAGCUUACUUAAAUCAUAUACAAGGUAAAGAUUUCUUCCACAUACUAAAUACUCAUCAAAUAUCAUCUUAAGAGCAUAAAUCAACAAAGGAUAACAAGAAAACUUAAGGCCUUAUUCAUCAAUAGGUUCUGCCGCUCUUGGAAGAUGAAGAAGAAAAUGUUUUCCUCAUCAAUUCAACAUAUAGGCAUGCUUAGAAAUCUCUCAAGAACACAUUUAUACCACCAAAAUUGAAUAAUCAAAUCAUUUCAUAUAAAAUUCCCAAUUUUCACAAAAUAGUAUCAACUUCACAAAAUUAAAAAUUUAAACAAGGUAAGAGUGUUUAUGAACACUUACCUCAAAAUCAAGCUUGGAACACCCCAAAAGUCACCAAAUCAAACUUGAGUCUUGCAUUUAGCCACCUUAGAUAGCUCACCUUUUAAUUACCCUUAAAAAUUCUGCACAUCUUUAAGCUCCAAUUCAAUAAUAACCUUGAAUCUUCAAGAGGAAGGUCUUGGUUGGAGUUCAUAUGGUCUAGUUAGAGUGAUUUUUUUGUGAGAAAUUGAAAACAAUAAGGAAGAGAAGGAGAGCAUAUGGUUCGGCCAAGGAAGAGAAGAAAGAAAGAAAUGGUUGCUCAAAUCAUUCACGUUGAAGAUAAAAAGAUGAAGAGAAAAUGGUUGCUCAAAUCAUUGAGCACAAGGGUAUUUUAGUCUUUUCUCAACAUAAUUGGAUGGCUACGAUUAAGUCAAUGGUAAUCUAAUCCAAUGGCUAAAAAUAUUCUCCAAUUUAUUUCCUUCAAAAUAUUAUUUCUCUCCACAAAAUUCUUAAAUUUAAUCCUUAAAAAUAAGUUCUCUUAUUCCCUUACUUAAUAUAACACCAUCUCUAUUUACUUCAUAAAAAUAUUGCAUCUAAGUUCCUUAAUUAAUAUAACACUAUAAUUAACUAUUCACUAAUUAUCUAACUUCUCCAAAAAUAUUCAUUACUUACUUUCUACCCAUAAAAAUAAUGUAUACAUACUCCAAAAAUAUUAAAGACAAUAUUAAACAUACAUAGUAAUUUUUUUCGGACCAAAAUAAUAUCGAUUUCCGGACUGGUGGCACUAUUCACACACUGGUAAACUUACUAUUUCAGACAAAGAAAAAUGGGGCGUUACACUCAAUUUUUCGAUUUUCUGUAUAAUCACUUUAUGUUACUUUUAUAUGCUGCGCGCAAUGACGAAGUCAGGAUUAUAAUACAAAUAAUGUAUAAUAGAUGAUUUAUCAUUUAAUAAAUUAUAUACUACACUUCUCUAUUUAAAAAAUUAUACAAAUAUUAUGAGGAAUGAAAAGUUUAAUCAAUAUAAAUAACAUCUUUUUCCUCUUCAAACAAACUCAAAAUUUAUUGAAUAACAAUUUCAUAAUAAAAGGUUCUUUCGCUCCAUAAAAAAUCAUUCUUUUGAUUUCAUAGUUAAAAACAUAUUUGGAUUGUUUAUGAAAGAAAUGAUAAGAUGAAUCUUAUUUUUAUAACAAUGUAACCAAAUUUAAACAAUUUAAAUGUUAAUAAUAUACAUUAAUUUAUUUAUAUAAUACGAUAAUAACAAAUGCAGAUUGUUCAAAUAAUAACUUGUUAACAAAAAAAAGUGCAUUUAUUAGAGGGCUUAACUCGUGUAGGAAUAAUUCCUCUUAACACCCUCUAAUAAAAUCCCACAUUUUAGGAGGAACUUCCAAAUGCCAUAUCUUUCCUAAUGAUCCCCCUGUAAACGUUCCCCCCCUCUCCCUAGCCAUUUCAACGCUACAUAGUAACUCGAUCUAACCCGAUACUCUCCCCUCCUAUCAAAGUGCCAAAUCAACUUAUCUUCUAGAUUAUUCACACCCAAAGGAAUAUUAAGAAUUGUCCUAAUGUCUCUUGCACUAAAUAACUCCACAAUUUCAUCAAAAUCCCAACCUCUCCUAUCAUUCGUUAUAAGAUCACACACUCUCAUAUCAAGUUCUAAAAAAUGAAUGACAUCCUCCACAUAAAAAGUAUCACUCUUGGGAAGUCAAGGAUCCUGUGUGACCAAAAUAUUCUCACCAUUCCCCACUCUCCACGUAACCCCUAACUUUAGCAUGUCCCUGACAAACAAGAUACUCCUCCAAGUAAAACUGAGAUUAUUCCCUAGUGAUGCAGAUAGAAAUCACCAUCCGGAAAAUAUUUAGCUUUGAGCGUACAAUAAAGAAGAGUAUUGGGUUCGGAUAAUAGUCUUCACCCUUACUUACCAAGCAUAGCAAUAUUAAAGCUAUACAAAUCUCUAAAACCCAUUCCCCCAUCCUUCUUGCUUUGACACAUCCUAUCGCAAGAAUACCAAUGGAUACCUUUAUUAUUCCCCCCUUUAGAACCCCACCAAUAAGAAUUCACAAUUUUUUGAAGAUCAUCACACAACGAUAAGGGAAGUAAGAACAUACUCAUACAAUAAGAUGGACAAGCUUGUGUGACAGACUUAAGUAAAAUCUCCCUACCUACUUUAGACAAGAGCUUAUUAGUCCAACAGUUAAUUCUACUCAAUAACUUGUCCUUUGAAAAAUUACAAAUAUGUUUCUUCCUUUUACUAAUUAGAGAAGGUAACCCCAAAUAUUUCUCCUCUCCUAAAGAAUUAUGAACUUCUAGGAUAUUGGACACAGACACUUUAACCAUACAUGAAACAUUAGGAUUAAACAUGAUCCUUGACUUCCUAAAAUUAACGGCUUGACCCGAAGCACUGUCAUAUUCAUCUAAAAUCUGCUUUACUCACCUACCCUCACUGUCUGAGGCCUUAAAAAAGAAAAACAAGUCAUCUACAAAUAAUAAAUGUGCCACCCUUGGACAUCUAACUCCAGCUCGACACCCAUGGAUCCAUCCUCUCUACUCAGCCUCCUUAAACAACGGGGAUAAACCUUCAGAACAAAUAAUAAAAAGGUAUGGUGAAAUAGGAUCUCCUUGUCUAAGACCCCUCUCUGGAAUAACAGGACCAACUACUUCCCCAUUACACAAGUAAGAGUACCACACAUUAGUCACACAUGCUGUCAUCCAAUCAAUCCAUUUGGUACUAAAACCCAAUCUACCCAUCAUAUCUUGCAGGAAAUUCCAAUUGACCCUAUCAUAGGCUUUAGUUAUAUCUAUUUUAAGAGUUGCCAUACCCGUACCUCCCCACGUUUCAUACUGUGAAGAAUUUCAAAGGCCACACCAAUAUUAUCCUGUAUUACUCUACCCAGCACAAAAGUAUAUUGGCUAUUCGAAAUAGUCAAUCUGAAGCAGAGCAAAUUUAGCAUUUAGUUUAUUGAAGAAGAAAAGGAAAAAUUAUAAAUAUUAAUCACGUGUAGAAUAGUUGUUUAAUCUAUCAAAAAGGAAAAAGAAAAACUAUUAAAAUAAAAAAUAUGUAGAAAAAAAAGAAAAAAAGAAACACUAUAAAAAUGGAUUAAAAAGAAAAUUUUAAAAUUAAUGGUAUAUAAAUUGGUCUUUUAAUUAACCAACAAGAAAAGCUAUUAAAAUAAAAAAUUAUGUAAAUAAAAUUUAAAAAGAAAAAGAAAAACUAUGAAAAAGGGAAAAGGAAAAGUAUAAAAUAACAGGGAGCAAAGAAAAAAAAUUAAUAAAAUUAUAUAUAAAUGGAAAAACAAAAAGUAUAAAAAGGGGAAAAAGCAGAAAUUGGAAAACUAAAAUAAUAAAAACCAGAAAAAAGAUCACAAUAAGUAGUUUCAAACAUUGGCUGACAAUAUAAACUCACAACAUUUUAGCCACUAUACCAAACUACACUACAUUUCCUUUCUACCACUAAAUUAUUUUAUAAAACAAUCCAGGGGCAUGGCCCCCUCCUCCCCUUCUCUCCACUCCCUCUGCUAUUGGUUGGGCAUAACUAUUUUGAAACUUAUAUAUAUUAGCACCACAAAUAUAAACAAAUAUUUAAAAUAAAAGAAAAAUGAUAUAAAACACAAGACAAGCCAAGAAUACUCUCAAGGAGAUCUCAAUUAAUAAAAAUUCAUUUUUAUUAAAUCUCAUAAAAUUAAAAAAUAUAUUGAAACAAACAAAUAAAAUUACAAUCUUGAUAUAGAUAUAGAAGAGUUUGUGAUAAAAUUAGAGGGCUUAGAGAAACUAAAUCCGUUGAUGAUGCAUAGAAGCUUCGAUGAAUAUGAAUUCAUUUAGGAUCUAUGGCAAGGUCAUGAUUCAAAGAUGGAUUGGAGAAAGAGGAAGAGAUGCCAAGGUUAAAGAGAGAGAAAGUGACUGAAUAAAUUGUGGACUUCAAAAACUGGCAUUUAAUGGUUGUGGGUUAAGCUUACCAAAGAUUAAGGCCUCGUUUGGUUCAAAUUCAUCUACUUUCCGAGGAGUUCACUUCCUAGAAAAUAAAGUUUCAAAGAAGUUACUUCUUGAAAAGUACAGUGUGAAUAUGUUUUGUUGAUAUAUUGAAUUCCCAAGAAAUAAAAUUGUGUUAAUGAAAUUUUACAUAUGAAAGGACAAUAAUACUCCUACCAUGAAUUUAAAUAUAAUAAUUGAAAUAAUUCAUUGAAAGCGCAAAAUGGAGAUUGUUAAAUUCUAAAGGUCAAGAAGUGUACUUCCUUAGGUUGAGGAGAGGAAGUAACUUCCUGUACGGACAAGAAGUUGAGCAAUUCAACUUUUCGAGAAGUUCUUUAUUUUUGGAAACCAAACAUAAUCAAAUGCAUCACUUUUCAGGAAGUUUAAGUUCCUGAUGUAACACCCUAUGCGAAUCUCACAUCGGCUAAACACAAGGUGUAAAUGAAACCCAUAAGAAUGGGCAAGUUUUAAACUAGCAAGAAGCCAUAAGGCAUGAGUUGGUUCGGCCAGAGUAAAUAGUAUCUUGCAAUGUUUAAGAUGGAUGUGAGUUGGUUUUAUCUUGGCAACUUGUAAAGAGGUUUUUUUGGCUAUUGUUGGUUGUAGCUCAAGAACAAACCCGUGCGGGCCUGAGUAAGUUCGGUCCAAAGCGGACUGUAUCUUGCUAGCUCAAACUUAUUCUAAAGCCUAGUCUUAACUCCAUAUUGGAGUGUUAAAUGCUAUAAUAUCUAAGUUUUAAAAUAGGAGUGCUUGGGAUACAUAAGUGCUAUAAUACCUAAGUUUUAAAAUGAGAGUGCUCGGGAUACAUAAGUAAAAAUAGAGUGAUUUCGCGAUAAGUUAAAAAAUUGAGAGUAUUUUGAUAGGUUUGUCCAUAUUUGAAGAUAAACUCAAAGUAGUAAUGUUUCUUUGAGAUUUUAUCAAUAUACAUUUCAUCUUUCUUCACAUUUCAAAUUUAAACAUUUUUCUCUUUAUUGUGUGGUCCAUUAAUAUUAUCAUUUUAUGGAGUAGCCAAUUCCCUUAACAAGAGGGCAACUAUUAAGGAUAGGCGAAUGAUAAGUUUCAAGAUUAUCAUUUUCCCCCCUAUCAGCAUAGAGUACUGUGUUUAUAAAGAUAAAACUUGCAUACGUCUGGUGUAUAGAUGGUCUUAUAUAUCAAACCAAUCAAAAAGUAGCAUUUUAAAAAAAUAUUACCGUUAUAUAUUUUUUUCCUGUACAUGAUCGUAAAUGGUUAAAUACUCUUAUUUUGAAUUAAAAUUCUAUAUGUGAUUAAUUUGAUGUACAAGUAAAUCUAUAUACUCGAUGUAGGUAAUUCUUUUCCGUAUUUAUAAAUUACCAUUGCAACAAUAUUUAUAGAUAAGUUUUCAUAUCCAUCAAUAUACUCACCUUUAUGUCCACCGCCUGCAUUACUCGUAUGUCAAUACAUUUUUUAAAAGAGUAGGCUUUUGCGGGGCUUCCCUUGUUAUUGAUUAAAUUUCACAUGAAAAGAAAUUAAAAAUUAAUAAAUAAUCUUUAUGUCUCACAUUAUAAAUCGUUUAAUAUUUUUACACGAAAAUUAAAAAACUAUGAGUAACUUUAUUCUAUCUAAUGUAAAUAAGAGUGAUAUUAAAAAAUUAUCAUUUAUUAUUCUUUAAAAUACUUAAAACGAUUUAUAUUUUGGGAUAUAAUGAUCACUCAAAAUGAUUUAUAUUUUGAAAUGGAGAGAGUAGUUAGUACUAGAAAUCAUUUUACCAAUCAAACCAUCAGCAUCAAACCUUUUAGUGUUUUGUUAAAUCAAAUGUAGUAAGGAAAAAAAAUAAUACGAUAACUUUAUUUGGUUCAAAUACUUGCCUUUUCUUGUUACAUUAUAUUGAAUGAACUUUAAGCAGAUAUAUGAAUAAUACAGGUAUUUGGCUUUCCAAUUCGUUGCUCUUUUCCUGAAAGAAGCCAAUUCUAAUUAAGGGUUGAUGGAAAUCCAAUUUUUUUGCCAUUUUAAAAUGAAAAAAAAAAUAAAACUAAAAAUUUUACAAAAUUUACAUAUAUUUUUAAAAUUUAUAAAUUUAUAAUUUUUGUAAAAAGUACAAUUUUAAAUUGAAAUAACAAAAUGAAAUUUAGUGGUUCUCUUUCUCUCCUGCAUGAUAAAAUGAUAUUGUUUUUUUUUUUUUUUUUUAAAAAAAAAAAAGAAAGUGAAUGCUAAAUUUAAGGCGGAACACAAAUAGAUGAUUCCAAAAGACACAAACACACUACCACUAUCUUUUCCGUGACCAAUAACAGACAGUCACGUAUUCAUGUGCCAAUCAGACGUAUGUCCUAAUCCAUCUUCUUCGCCUAUUUAAAGACAAAGGUCCUCUGUGUUCUGUGUUUAAAGAUGUCCCUUCGCUAAAUCAAAAGGCCGAGAUUUCGGCUCUAUAAAACUCGGAUAUUUCGCGACAUUUCGUUUCCUACGGUGUAAUGGCAAUGGCUGGCUAUGGGCUAUUGAAGAUCGAUGAAGGAGAGCUAAAGAGCAAUCGAAGAACAUCGCGUCUCGCUUCUCUUGAUGUCUUUCGCGGCAUCUCCAUUCUUGUGAGCUUUCUUUAGCUUUUCUUGUUUUCUUUUAAUUUAUGCCACGUUUUUGAUUGGUUGCUGAGAAAAUGCCAGAAAAUGAACCGCCGCAUGAAAAUAAUUCAAUGGAAAUUAAGCCAAAAAAAAAAAAAAAAAAGCUUCAUUUUCAGGUUUUAUUUCUCUUUGGCCUCUGUUUCCAUAUUUUUGUUAAUUUUAUGUUUUUGUUUUUUCUUUUAUUUAAAUAUUUUAAACAAACAUACAAAAAAGAACAGAGUUCAUCAUAUGAAAAAAAAAAAAAAAAUCUCAUUGAGUAUAAAUUUUUUUAAAAUAAUUUAAUAAUAUUUAUAUGAUGAGAUCCACUCCACCCUAUAUGAAAAUAAUCCACAUCAAUCUGAUCUGAAUAUGAAUUACUGGGUAUAAAAAUCAUAAAAUUUGAUUUUUAUUAUUUUUUUAUAAUAUUUUUGAAUAUAUAAUUUUUUACAAUUGUAUAAUAAUUAUAAAAACUAAAACAAUAAAUAUAUCCUAAAUUAAUUUAUUAGCGCUGUCCAACCACUUUUCAAAAUAGACUGAGUGCAGGAAUGUCCAACCGAAGCUUACCUUUCGUCCAAUCAACUUGUUAGUGGAUGAGAAAAGCAAACAUACGUUGCGUGCGUGCAUUUCGUAUAAUGCGCAAUGCAUAGCAUAAUUCGUUUGCUCUUUACGCAAUCUUUCUGACGUCAAAGUAACCUUCAGUUUUUGCAAACUGUCCGAAAAAAGCAUAGAAAUGCUCAUGGAAAAAAAUAUUUAUAUAUCUCCUUUCAAAUUGAAGACUUUUAAAAAAAUUCCAUAAAAUUUUGAUAAAUACUAUGAAUUUUAAUAUUCUCAAUCUGAAACUUUUUAUAAAAAAAAGAGAGAGAAAAAUUUGAAAUGACUUUCUGCUUUUCAAAAAUAUUCUGAUGUAUAUAAAUAUUUUGUUUUAUUAUUCAAACGAUAAUCUAUAUUUAAAUACAGCAAAUGAUUUCAGUAAAUUUAAAAUUUAAUCUAUAGAAGAACAUUUAUAAAAAAGAAAAAAAAGAAAAGUACAGGUUUUCAAAUGGCCCAACUCACACAUUAAUGGACUAAAUUUGAGAAACUGCACUUUGUACUUCAUAAUUUAUUUAUAGGCCCACCAACAGACCCCCAUACUUUAAUGCACACGUACGGUCUUAAUUGUUUCUCGGAAGUUACUUCAAUUAAUGAAUCGAAUAACAAUUCAAUAAAAUAUAAAAUAAUAUUAUUAUUAUGAAUAACAAGUCAAUAAAAAUAAGACACUUGUCAAAAGUGAUAUAUAAAUAAGAUUUAAUUAAUUCAUUAUUUCCAUCUCUAUUUCAUUUUAUUUUCAGUUUGCAUUAUUAUAUAUGAUAAGUGUCUUAUUUUUUAAAAAUUGUCGUUCCAACAUAUAAUGGUGACAUGGCAUCGGUGUUUUAUUAUAUAAUCAUUCAGAUCAUCAUCCUUAAAUUAUUUGAUCAUUUCAUAAAAAUUAUUAUUUUAUUAAUCAGUAAGUAUUAAUAAAAAGGUAAAAAUAUCCCUUAUUUUUUUAAAACAAUAUCCUUUAAAAUACUAUCUAAUCAUUCAUAUUUAAUAAUGUGAUCAUAUUAAUUUAACAAUAAAGGCAUGCGUUUUGGAUUGAGUUGUGGUUGAUUUAGUGAAUUUUUAAUUUAGGAACCAACCAAAGAAAGAGUUUAAUAAUUAAGAGAAAUUUCAAUCAUUAAAUAACAGUUCUCUAAGAAAAGUAUUCAUCUUAGUUGGUUUUUAGGAGUGUCAAAAUGGGUUUGCAGAUAGAUUUCGACAUAAACUCAUCUACCAUGCGACAUGAUUAGAAUCAACAUAAACACGAUCUGUUUAAUAAUUAUGCAAAAUUUUUAAAUAUAAACACAAAAUGCAAAUUAAAUGAAUGACACGAAUAUGACAUUUAUAAUCUGUUUAAUUAAAUAGAUCAUAUAUGAAUCCAAAAAUUCAACCAAACUUAAUUAAAUGAGUCAAAUACGGGUUAGAACAUAACACGUAUGCAUAUACAAUAUACUUAAUAUAUAUAUUAUAUAUAUUUUAAAUGGAUUAUACAUAUCGUGUUAUCACUCGUAUACGAGUGACUCAUAUAUAUAUAUAUUUGAGUCACUCGUAUACGGGUGAUAACACGAUAUGUAUAAUUCACUUAAAAUAUAUAUAAAUCACUUAUAUACAGAUCAAAACAUGACAUGUAUACAUGUAUAAUUCACUUAAUAUAUAUAUUUAUCGUAUUAUAUAUAAAUCACUAGUGUAUGCACGAAUUUAUUUGGGCUCAACUUUAUCGUGAUUAAUUUCUCUGUUAGGCAAAUCUAAUUUAUGCGUGUGAUAGCUGAUUUUAACAUCUCUACUUUUUAGAUUGCUUCAAUCAAUCAAAACCACAUAAUAUUUCCGUUUGAUUUUAUCGGAAGCAGGUUGGCAAGUGGACCCACAUAAUGUGUGGUGGUGGUCCAUAUGCUCUAAACGCUGGAUGGGACUUGGCUAUAACUGGUGUUAAUUUCUUGAUAUCUUUAAAAAAGAUUCCACGAUUGUUCUUAUACCCAGUGGCAAACAACAGUUACAUUACUCCUGCUGAACCCAAAACCUUACUACACUUCGUAUCUUACUAAAACAAAUUCUCUUUUGACCGCUUUAAAACGGACAGCACGCUCAGUACACACAGUCAAAAGGGCUACCCGCCACCCAGCCCUUUCCUUCCUUCGUCUUCUUCUCUGCAAAAGAAAAAACGCCAAACUUAUAAUAAUCAAAGCUACAAUAUUAAUCUUCCCUUAUACUUAUUCUCUUUCUUUCUUGUUUCUCAUUCUUUUCUCUCUCCUUAUAAAAUGGCUGACUUAGAAGUGCCUUUGCUGCUGCUGCAAUCGCCGCUCUCCGAUAACAAGCCCACGCGUGUUGCUUCUCUCGACGUCUUUCGCGGCCUCUGCGUCUUUGUAACUCUCCCUACUUACCUUUCGCUUUCUCGUCUUCGUUCUUCAGAUUCUCGUCCGAAUUACGUUUUACGGUUUCUUCUUCCUCAAUUUUCAACGUUUUUAUUAUUAUUAUAAGCAUUAUUUUAGUGCCUGAGCUGUUUGGUUUAAAUUUUAGGACUGUUUGGUUUAAAUUUUAGGAAAGAAAAGUUAGUUUUAACAAAAUUUCUAGCGUAACUUGUUUGUCUCAGAACCGAAAAAGUUGUUUAUGUUUGUUAUCAAUUUGGUGGCUACAGCUAAUGAUGAUUGUGGAUUAUCUGGGAUCGAUUUUUCCGAUCAUUGCUCAUUCUCCAUGGAAUGGCCUUCGCUUGGCGGAUUUUGUGAUGCCUUUCUUUCUUUUCAUAGCCGGAGUUUCUCUUGCACUUGUUUAUAAGGUAAGUAUACUACUAUAAUUAUUAUUACUUCAAAAGAAAUGCAUGUUUGCUUUAAUUAGGGAUUUUUAUAUUCUAAUUCUGUUUUAUGAAUAGAAAAUUGUUGAUUUUGACAAUUCAACGCAUUUUGUUAAUUAUCACUUCUGAUUCACUUGCUAAUUUUAUUUGGUUAAUAUUGGCUUUUAAUCUGAAAGUUCUGUUUUUAUCAGAAAGUAUCAGACAGAGUAGAUGCUACAUGGAAGGCAGUACUUAAGGCAGCAAAAUUGUUUUUCUUGGGUGUUUUUCUUCAAGGUGACACUGUCAGACAAUUGAAUUAUUGUUGUGGAUUUUAUAGCAGUAUAUAUCUAUAAUACUAUCGGGACAUACAUUUAAUUAGCAUACAUUUGUUAAAUUGUUCAUUUUUUUUCAGGUGGUUAUUUUCAUGGGAUAAAUUCAUUGGCUUAUGGUGUUGACAUCGAAAGAAUACGUUGGCUUGGCAUUCUGCAGGUACUCAAAAAUUUCUUUCUCCAUGUAUUAAUAUUUCCUUCCUCAAUACCCUUAUGCCAUGUUCGGAAAAUUAACUGUUUAUCUAUCCUAAUAGCUAUACUAAAGUAAUAUUGUUUCAUAAUACAUUCACUCAAACUCUAAGGUCAUCGAAUAGUAUUUCAAUAUUUAUUAAAACGCUAAAAGCUACAUAAAAAGUUAUCGUUGAACGGCCCUUACACCACAUGUCUAAAUUUUCACGAGUACAGAUUAAGUGAUUGUCAUUAAAGUAGGAUUAAAAGUUUCCUUCUUAAUUACAUAAACCGUAGUCCAGUGUCAUUGUUCAUUUACGUUAGUCCUAUACAUUGUUAAACUUGUUUUUGUUGUCAUUCAAGCCAGAGAAUAUCUAUUGGCUACAUUGUUGCGGCUUUAUGUGAGAUUUGGCUUUCAUCUCGACCGAUAAGAGAAAUAGGUUUCUUCAAGCCUUAUUAUUGGCAUUGGUAAGGUUUUGAUAUCUUGCAUUGGCCUUUAUAUUAUUAAACUUCAAGCAUAAUUGACAUCGUAAAAGUGUUAUGUUUAACAAUUGUAAUGUGACUUCAAUUCUUGAUUCUAUUUCACGAAAUGGCUUAAGUAACAAUACUCAUUUAUUUUCCCUCUCUCACUUGGGCCUAAUAAGCAGGAUUUUUAAUAAAUAUUUGCCUGAUUAACACACCAUUAACUCAGAUCCUUGAACAUGUAAUACAUAGAUCAACAUUCAAUUGAUAUCUUAAAAUACUAAUCAGAUGGUGAGUAUGAGCUUAAUGGAUUGAAUUGCAAUUUUUUUUUUUUUUUAAUUUUUUGGCUUUCUUUUCUCAAUUUAUUGAUGAAGCAAAAUUUUCAGGGUUUUGGCAUUUUCAUUGUGUGCAAUUUAUACGGGAUUAUUACACGGUCUCUACGUUCCAGAUUGGCAAUUUGAAAUCUCCAAUUCAACUUCUUCUGUUCUUCCAAACAAUGGCAGUUAUGUUUACUUGGUGAGAGUUUACUGAAACCUUUUUCUUUUGCUAUUAUUAUUAUUUUUUUUUUUUUUAUGCCUGUGAUUGUGUGCAUGUAUGUGAGGGUGCAUAUAGAAAUUAAAUUCAUGGAGAACAGAACCACUAGAGAAUGCUUGUCAUUAUCUAAAUUUUGUUUGCUACAAUUUUGACCAUGUUAUGAGCGCCUUGAAGCAUUUAUCUCUGGAACUAGAACUUCUAAUGUAGAUUUCUACUAGAAUUCGUCACCUUUCUAUGAAGAGCAAGUUAAUUUGCCAACACCAUAUUAUUUCAUCGUCCAAAUACUCGACUAAAACAUCAUUAGAGGAGAGAUGUGUUUUUGAAGUACAUUUUACAUACGUAAGUCAAUACAGUCAUUGCGCAUGCAUUUUCUGCUAGUAUUAUCCUUUCAAAAUGAAGUUAAAAUUUUUAUUGCUUGACGUUUGAAGUCAUGAAUUUGAAUACAUUCUUCAUAUUUUUCACAGGUGAGCUGCUCUGUAAGAGGCGAUCUUGGACCUGCUUGUAAUUCAGCUGGAAUGAUCGAUCGCUAUGUUCUUGGUAUUGAUCAUCUCUAUACAAAACCCGUCUAUAGAAAUCUGAAGGUAUUCUAUAUUGAUCUUUUUAUGGUGGUCUUUAUCCAUCCAUAUGCAAUGUAUUGAUCCCUAACAAAAAUCUCAACUUAUAGGAAUGCAAUAUGACAAAUGGCCAAGUUUCAGAGAAUUCACCUUCAUGGUGUCAUGCUCCUUAUGAUCCUGAAGGUCUAAUAAGGUAGUUGAAAUGCAUAUCAAUAAGCUACUUAUUCAAUUAAGUUGAUCAAUAGAAUCAUGAAGAGGCAAGUGACCUGUUUUUUUUCUGUUGAAUGGUAGUUGGCAAACGUUUUUUGAAGUUCAACAAGCCAAGUGGAAGAUUUAGGAGAGUCAAAGUUGAGAUAUUAUCGAAUAAUAUAUAAUAUGAAUCAAACGUACAUAGACAGAUUAUCAAAAUCGAAGUCUAGAAAGUAGGAGGAUGUCAAAAGAUGAUAAUUUUCUACUAAACAUAAUUACACAUCAAUAUGAGUCGCAUACUAUUCAGUCUUAUUUUUGACAAUUAGGUAACGCGCUAAAAUUUAUUGUGCCUACAGUUCCUUGACGGCUGCAGUUACCUGCAUUAUUGGACUUCAAUUCGGCCAUGUCCUUGCUCACGUAAAGGUGAUAUCAUAUGCAUUCUUUACUCUCCCCGUGAAUUUUCUUUUCUUAUCUUUUUCACCUGUAGUUAUUUAUGGUCACUGUCGUAUAGGAGAUUUAUAAUGAUGUGCAAAAGCAUUCUGCUUUGAGCUACAUGCUACUGCUAUUUCACGUACUAUAGAACAAUCACCAUUUUGGUAAUUGCUUGUCAAGCUUAUUGACGUUACUUGUUACACAUGCUUUUCAGGACCACAAAGGGCGGGUGGAAUGUUGGUCUUUCUUCUCAUUUUCACUUCUUCUACUUGGAUCAUCCCUCGCCUUCGUAGGUAUGCUCGUCAACAGCGCAUAACUUUUGCCUUCAAUAAGUACCUAUCGACACAUUUUUGUUAUGAAGAUAGAUAACACUUGUUGCUAUAGAAAACAUUCCAUCCUCAAAAGUAAAGCAAGGUGCUCUACUAAUAAGAACAAAUUGAUCUCCCCCAAUUUGUUCAUUUUAGCAAUCAAUUUUAGGUUCUUAGUAAAUACAUAUUGAAAGCAAAUCUUUGAUCUUCCCCUUUUGUUUUGCAGGCAUCCCCGUGAAUAAAUCUCUCUAUACAAUUAGUUAUAUGCUUAUUACUUCUGCUUUGGCAGGAAUCACAUUCUCAGUUUUGUACUUGGUGGUGAGUCAAUUCUACCUACUAUUGGAAGCAAAGCAUAAUCUUUAGCAGCUUCUUAGAUUUUCCAAGAAAUAUAUACUUGUCAGAUUUGACUUAAAAAUCUAAUUUGGUUGCUCUUGCAAAGAAGCCAACUGAAGCAUAAACCACGAGACCAUGAAAACCCUACUCUAUACUUACUGAAAAUUGAAGCAAAAGAUUAUUUUCAUCUUUCUUAACUCUGAAUCAUCACAACUUAAAAUCCCUCAAACCAAAUAUACUCCUCGUUCCUACUAUUUGACAUUUUUAUCUCUUUUUCUUACUGUUUAUAUACUGCCUGCUGUAGGUAGAUGUAUAUGGUUACAGAUGGGUGUCAUUACCGUUGGAGUGGAUGGGAAGGCAUUCCUUGAGUAUCUUUGUCCUUCUAACAUCUAACUUAAUUAUUAUUGCAAUUCAAGGAUUCUACUGGUCUAAGCCUGAAAACAACAUAGUGAGUGUUUAGAAGAUCUACUGCUUUUUAUUCACUUGCUACUAAUAUGUAAAUCCAAAGACAGCUAACACCACAUUUUUUUUCUUGUUGCCUCACUUUUUUAACAGAUUCACCAGAUUGUCGCAUCCUUCGUGCACAGAUGAUACAUAUGGUCAUUGGGUCGAAUUACAUGGUUAGAGAUUUUGAAUCUUGCUUUUAAGAUAGGGUAAAACACUGAAUUCUCUAGCCAAUCUCUCUUUUCAGACCACAUUUUAUAAUAGUGUUUUGGGAAAUCAAGGACAUAUUAUUAGUACCUAGUGAAUCUUUUUACUUUUCCCCCUCUAUAUACAAAAUGAAAGUGAUAUAUAUAAAAAUGUAUAAGCUUUAGACUAGCAAGAGCCAUUGACUGAGUACGAGGGAAAGUGAUAUUUAUAAAAAUGGGUAAGCCCUUAGACCAGCAAAGAGGUCUUUUGAGGGUGAUGGAUCAUCCAUUACCCUCGAGAACAAAACUGUGCAGACUGGAUCCAAAGCGGACAAUAUCUUGCUAGGCCUAAAAUGCCAUAUAUAAUGAGUAAAAUCACUUAACUUCUAAUAAAAUGAUUAAAUAGUUGAUGUUUUCAUACUAUAGAAACUAAAUAAUUUCUUCCAAAAAUAGAAUAACUUACGGGAUAAUGGUAAUAUUUACCCCUCUACUUACCUCUACUUACGGGAUAAUGGUAAUAUUCAGGUUUACAGAUUCAAGUGGCAGGACAAAUUCAAGCUUGAGUUAAUGUUCAAAUUAACACUCUCCUGAGGCCACUAAGAGGUUCAGCGAACACAAGGUCGCGAAGCAAUCCAAAUUCCGCAAUUGUCCAGUGUUUUUGCAUGAAAUGCGGCUCUCAGCUGUCAAGGCUUGUGCCUUGUUCUUGACAAGAGUUAUAACAUGCUCUAGACAAUAUUGUAGUCUUAUUCAAUUUUAAAUCAAUCAAGGGAAGCAAUGAAACAAUUUUAUGCAAAUUAUAUUACACUUUCCAAUUUAUGACUUGGUCUGAGGCAGAUAUUGAAUCAUGCCAAUAAAAAAAAAAUUUAAAAAAAAAAAAAAAAAAAAAAAAAAAAAAAAAAAAAAUACUGCCUGCUGUAGGUAGAUGUAUAUGGUUACAGAUGGGUGUCAUUACCGUUGGAGUGGAUGGGAAGGCAUUCCUUGAGUAUCUUUGUCCUUCUAACAUCUAACUUAAUUAUUAUUGCAAUUCAAGGAUUCUACUGGUCUAAGCCUGAAAACAACAUAGUGAGUGUUUAGAAGAUCUACUGCUUUUUAUUCACUUGCUACUAAUAUGUAAAUCCAAAGACAGCUAACACCACAUUUUUUUUCUUGUUGCCUCACUUUUUUAACAGAUUCACCAGAUUGUCGCAUCCUUCGUGCACAGAUGAUACAUAUGGUCAUUGGGUCGAAUUACAUGGUUAGAGAUUUUGAAUCUUGCUUUUAAGAUAGGGUAAAACACUGAAUUCUCUAGCCAAUCUCUCUUUUCAGACCACAUUUUAUAAUAGUGUUUUGGGAAAUCAAGGACAUAUUAUUAGUACCUAGUGAAUCUUUUUACUUUUCCCCCUCUAUAUACAAAAUGAAAGUGAUAUAUAUAAAAAUGUAUAAGCUUUAGACUAGCAAGAGCCAUUGACUGAGUACGAGGGAAAGUGAUAUUUAUAAAAAUGGGUAAGCCCUUAGACCAGCAAAGAGGUCUUUUGAGGGUGAUGGAUCAUCCAUUACCCUCGAGAACAAAACUGUGCAGACUGGAUCCAAAGCGGACAAUAUCUUGCUAGGCCUAAAAUGCCAUAUAUAAUGAGUAAAAUCACUUAACUUCUAAUAAAAUGAUUAAAUAGUUGAUGUUUUCAUACUAUAGAAACUAAAUAAUUUCUUCCAAAAAUAGAAUAACUUACGGGAUAAUGGUAAUAUUUACCCCUCUACUUACCUCUACUUACGGGAUAAUGGUAAUAUUCAGGUUUACAGAUUCAAGUGGCAGGACAAAUUCAAGCUUGAGUUAAUGUUCAAAUUAACACUCUCCUGAGGCCACUAAGAGGUUCAGCGAACACAAGGUCGCGAAGCAAUCCAAAUUCCGCAAUUGUCCAGUGUUUUUGCAUGAAAUGCGGCUCUCAGCUGUCAAGGCUUGUGCCUUGUUCUUGACAAGAGUUAUAACAUGCUCUAGACAAUAUUGUAGUCUUAUUCAAUUUUAAAUCAAUCAAGGGAAGCAAUGAAACAAUUUUAUGCAAAUUAUAUUACACUUUCCAAUUUAUGACUUGGUCUGAGGCAGAUAUUGAAUCAUGCCAAUAAAAAAAAAAUUAAAAAAAAAAAAAAAAAAAAAAAAAAAAAAAAAAAAAACACUAGAAAAGCUCUAAUAUUCGAGAAUCUCAUCGUAAAGCAAUAGUAUGAUUUACACAUUCACCCAAUACUCAGGGUUGUUAAAAUUGUGAACAUAUUUAAAUAAAUAUGAAUUUGGAUUGUAAUUAUAUCUAUUUUUAAGUGUAAUCCUUAACAUAUUUUAAAAACAAGGUGAUGUAAUUUACAUAACAUACCAGGAUCAUUAAUGUUUAAUAAUAAUUUGUUUCUCUAAUCCUCAAAUAGGACAUACCUCGGAAGCACAAGCAAUGCAAGGUACCAAAGAUGUCAAAACCAACUUGAAAUCCUGUGUGGUUUCAAAUGUUCGCAAUUCAUCAAUCAACGAGCUGCUACUUCAGUUGAUAGGAACUGCUUCCUAUCAAUAAAGAUUUAUGUUUGUUUAGAACUGAAACUCUCCUUUUCAAAUAACUCUUAACGAUAGAAAAGAUACCAACUCAAAUUUUAAGUUACCUUCGUGCAAGAAUUUCUCUGUUGAUCAAAUAAUGAGAGGCCUUAUCCAACACUGGGCAGAGACUUGACUACAAGUAACAUCAAUAGCAAUCUUGCAGUUUCCAGCUACAAAUUCAACUUGAGAUAUAAAAAGAUGCAGAUGCAUUAUAUUCUCACUUCCCAGGGAGGUCACUCCACAUCUGCCUAGCAAAGCAGCUCAUCUGUGCUAGUUGCUCACGAUUGGCUUGUAAAAUGCACCAUAUGCUACAAUCACAACAAACUUCUCUGUGCGGCUUGGGAUAGAUCAUAGUAAGUUUCUGUGUGAACGCUUCAACCUAAUAUGAAGGACAAAGAAAUCAAAAUGCAAACAUUAGAAAAUAUGCUUAAAAAACAAGUGAACAAUAGAUAUGAAGAAAACUCAAAUCCCAAGUCUCCAACGAAAUGAUUUUGUGAACUCAGACUAAACUUUCUUCAUAUCUAACAACAUAUUAGAUAUGAAGAAAGUUUAGUGAGUUGUAAUUUCCUGGCACUCUAUGUGAUUCUCCAAUCCAUUGUCUCUAGUUAACUGUGUCAUUUCGAACUAAUCCACCACUUUGUAAAGCUUGUUGAUAAAGUUCAUGCAACUUAAUUGAUGUAUUGAUCAGCAUAGCCAUUAUCGUCCCAAGCAUACUAAUUCAGGUAUUUAACCAAUCCUACCAAAGAACUAACAUAAUUGAUGAGAAACCCAAUUACGAAAAUGAUUAUGCAAUAUCAUUCAUGCAAUCUUUACUAUUUCAAUAUUGAUAACCAAUAAAUAUUCCUCCAUUUAAAUUGAAAAUUAAAUUAAAUGAUAAAAUAAGGGCAAAAUCAAGGAGUUCACAUGCAGCACUUGAUGUUGAGAUCGUGUUUUGGGGAGUUUGAGCUAAAGAUUGAUAAGGACAGAGACAAGACCUACAUACCGCCGCAUAAUCAUCAACACUAGGAGGAAUCUACCCAGCUAACUGCUGCUUCUUUCUUGAUAUUAUUCCUUUCCAUUAUUACUCUUAUUUCUGAUGCAUUUUCCCAUUGUCCCAUAUCGGCAUACAUGUUGUAUAACAAGACAUAUGGAACUGAGCUAUCUGGUUCGAGUUUCAUUAAUGCUUCAGCAGCAAUACGGGCAAUCUCUGCAUUGUUAUGGACCCUAGAAGCACCCAAUAAUGCACCCCAAACAGCCUUAUCUGGCUUAAAUGGCAUGCCAUUGAUCAAAUCCAAGGCCUCUUCAAGCUGUCCAUGCCGACCCACAAUGUCAACUAGGGAAGAGAAGUGUUCAAUCCUUGGCUCGAUGCCAUAUUCACUAACCAUGGAUUUAAAUAUCCCUCGACCUUCUUCAACCAGUCCAGCAUAAGCACAGGCAUUCAGAGCAGAAAUAAAUGUUAUAUAAGUAGGCUGCACUUUGGAAAUUCUCAUUAAUUUGAAAAGUUCCAAGGCCUCUGCAGCAUAACCAUGGGAUGCAUAUCCUCCAAUCAUUGCAUUCCAAGAAAUUACUUCUUUAUGCGGUUUCAUUUCAUCAAAAAUGGUCCAUGCCUCAAUUAUUGCCCCACAUCUUGAGUACAUCGUGAUGAGGGCAUUAUUCAAUGGCACAUCUGGGAUAACUGUCUUUCUGACCAGCUGAUGAAUCUGCAUACCCAAGUGCAGAUCCACAAUUCCAGAAGAUGCACUGAGAAGCGAAGAUAAUGUGUGUCGGUCAGGUUUCUCUCCUUCAACUUGCAUCCGAAAGAAGACCUUAAUUGCUCCUUUAUAAUCCUCCUUCUUCUCAUGCCCCGCAAUCAUGGAAUUCCACGACACCAAAUUCUUCUGGGGCAUCCUCUCAAAAAACUCAUGAGCAAGUUCCAAAUUACCUACCAGGGCAUGUCCUGAUAUCAUUGAAUUCCAUGAAAAGGAAUCAGGAUUUGGCAUUUUGCAAAAGAGGUUUGACGCCUCCUCCAUAUCUGAGACAUGAACAUAUCCACUAAUGAUGGUAUUCCAUGAAAAAGUGUCUAGUACAAUCAUUUGGUCAAAGAGUUCCCUAGCAGAAACAAUAUCUCCAGCCUUCACAUAGCACAUUAUCAUGGUAUUCCAUGACACCACAUUUCUCUCAAACCUCCCUUUACUUCCUUUUUGUUUGUCAUUAUUACUUGGCAUCUUAUCAAAAAGUUUCCGAGCUUCAUCCACCCUUCCUCUUUGACCAUAUCCCGCAAUCAAAGUAUUAUAAGCAUGCACCAACUCCUCUUUCCCACUAUUAUUAUUUCCAUAGUCAAGCAAAAUUUUUGCAGCUUCCUCAAGCUUCUCAUUAUGAAUAAGACCCGAUACAAGUGCACUCAACGAUGUUGAAUCCCUCUCUGGCAUUCUCUCAAAAAACUCAAUUGCACGCGCCACAUCACCAUUUUGCAAAAAACCAGAAACUAUAGCAUUCCAAGAAACAGCAUUUGGCUUAGGCAUUGUAUUAAAAAGCUGCAGAGCCUCCUCUAUUCUCCCAUUCCUUGCAUACCCACUAAUCAUUGUGUUCCAAGAAACGCAGUCCCUCUUUGGCAUUUUAUCAAACAAGCACCUUCCCUCCUCUAUAAACCUCUUCCCACGACAUGACACAUACCCCGAAAUCAUCAAAUUCCACGACACAACAUCCCUCUUUGGCAUUUCAUCAAAAAGCUUUCUUGCUUUAGUCAUCUCACCCUGUCUCGCAUACCCACUGAUCAUUGAGUUCCAUGAGAUGGUGUUUCUUUGCUCCAUUUUAUCAAACAAUGCCCUUGCAUCAUUAAUCUGACCUGUCUGGUUGAAACGCGUGAUUUUUUUAUUCAGGGAAAACAAGUCUCUGUCGCAAUCAUUAAAUGAACUCUUUGAUUUUGGAGCCGAUGCAAAACAGCUAGCUUCUAUGCUGAUGUAUGGCUUCCGUCUAGUCUGAAGCUUCCAUUUGCAUGAUGCGCCAAGGGCAAUUCUCAACCUGAGCAUAAUUUACAGAACAAGUUUACUGAACCUCUAAGAUUCAUUCAGCAACUGAUGAAUUAAACAAUCAAACUUUUUAUCAGAAAGUUAUUCAUUUUCUUAAUAUAUUUAGUUUUGCUCAGGUCACAUCACACGCUUGUCACACUCUUAACUUCUGAAACCAACAAAAAGAAUUAGGCGGUUUCAAAAAACGGUCAUCUAAUGGAACCUGCCAUAUUUGUCAAGCUAACUAAGAGUUUUCUUCACCUGUUCAACCUAUAAAAAUUUUUAAAACAAUUAUAAUCUACUAAAAAAAUAUUUUUUUUUUUAUAAAACUAAUAAUUGGCUAUAAAUAAAGGACAAUAUAAUUACCAAACCAGAAAUUACUAAUGCCACAGCUAGAUAUGUUAUUGACUUUUGAUUUGACAAUACUAUCUUAUAUGUAAGACGAUACUAUCCUUAUAUGUAAUAUUCUAAAUUUAUCAUUUUAUACUCUUAAAACUAUUCUUAUUAACUUCAAAUCUAUUCAUCUAUUUUUAUAUCAAUUCCAUACACAAUUUUUUCAUAUAGCCGACCCCCACUAGUUUGGACCUAAGGCUUGGUGGUGGUGGUUGUUUUUCCAUAUACAAUUUUUUCAAGAGAGAAAUAUUAACUUUGACAAACAUAUAAUAGCUAAACCUAAUACUUGUUUCAUCCUAUUAAUUAAUAAUGAAAAUUCGAAAAUCAGGACAACAAAAUUUAAAUGCAGAAAUAAAUAAAUAAAUAAAUAAAAUGAAAUUCUCAAGAAUACAUAUCAAACUAAAAAAUUUAAUUGUCUUCUUUAAUAAAAUAAUAAAAAAUGAACAUUAUUUUUCCCCAUUAAAUUUAUUCUUCUAAAUCCCUGAAAAUGUUAUUUUCCAGUUAACUCUGGUACCUGUUUAUAAAAUUAAAAAACAUUUCACAUGAACUAUAUAUUUUAGCUGCUUUUAAAAAUUUCACAUGACUAUACCAAAAUUUCCCUAAUCUCAGUUCCUUUGCAACCAAAACAUUUUUCCAUUCCUAUGGUUUGUUUAUUAACUGAACUAGCCAGUAUCUUACUGGUAGAUAAUUUGAUUUGGUAUAAUUUACUCAAAAAUCAAGUUGAAAAAAAAAAGCAGAACAUAUAUCCUCUCUUAUAAAAUGCUUACCGUGAGGAAAAUGAUAAAAUUACAGUCACGCAAAGAAGGCAAUACCAAAUAUGGAUUUUCUUUCUUUUCUUGCAUGUUCCCAAACAACUAAAGUGAUCUCUAGCCAUAUUUUCUCAGCCACCAAAAAAUUAGAAAAUAUAAUUACAGAAUUCUUAAUAUGCAAUUCGCAAAGUAAAACAAAUUAAAGAAGAGCUAAAAAAUGAAAAAGAAGGAUUGCUCACAUAGAUGUUGACAGUGAACUAAGUCGCUGCAGGACUGCACCUGCCAACAUAUUGAAUGGUGGUCAAAGACCGCUUUUGCUUCCUCCCAUUUUGAUUACUGCACAAAAAAUACCGGCAUAAAGGCUGUCAAGUAAAAGAGAUUCUCUAGAUUUCUGUCUCAGAUUCUAUAUCAAACAUGAAAAUAGAAAUUUGAGGCAAACGACAAUCAAUUUAUCUAAGAAAAGAUGAGUAAACAAAAAGUUAAAGUGAAAUGUGUCCAAUAAUGAACCUGAAUUCACAAAAUCAAAAAUAAUUGUUGCCUUCUUCCCUUCUAACUCUUCAAAAUUUCAGCUCUUUCAUUCAAAAUCUUCCCAAUCUCUUGCUAAUUCUGGAUAUUCAUGGAGUCUGGAAUCAAACGGUUAACAGAGAGGGUAGUUUCAUUUUUAUUUCAUCAAAAUUUGAUGAAAUGGAACAAAACUUGGGAUUUGGUUUGGGAAAUCACAAGGAAGUGUUGAAUUGAGAAGAAAAUAUUUAGAACUUUGAGAAGAGGACUUGGGUUGGUUUUUUGCUUAGUGACAUAAACAGGUUAGGAGGAAUGUGGCCUUUUUUUCACUCUUUUUUUGAAUGAAUUUCAAUGUUUAAGAGUAAAAGGUCAUAAAAAAAUUUAAUAAUAGUUGGACUUGUGCGGAGCUCGCCCGCAUGCAAGGUCCAACUUUAAAUAAAUAAUUAGUCAUUUAUCAGCAUAUUGUGGAUGGCAACGGGUCAGGUACACAAAAAGUGUCGUAUCCCAAUCCAAACUCACUUAAAUAUAAGGUACCUGAAUCCAUUUAAAAAAUUACCCCUGCAUUACCCAUAUUCGUCCCAAAUUGAAUUAGCAUUACCCAUUUGCAAUCCGGAUUCAUAGAAACAACCGUUUAACACAAAAUGAACAAAAUGCAUACAACACACAAUACACUAAACUGUAUAAACACUUGAUUAUUAUCGAACCCUUAUAAAAUAAAGAAAAUAGCAUGCUGUUAUUUUUACCACUCCAAUUGUCAGAAAUUGUAUGUAAUUACAUAGUUUUUACAAUUCAAAGAAACUUCAAGAAUCUACUAACUUAAUUAUAUAAUGGAGAGCAAGAAUGAAUACAUUUAAACUCCAGGUCUACGAAUAUGUGGCCUGUAAGUAUUUGGUCAAUAUAGUUUCUUGAAUCCCUGGACAAAAGAGACAGCUUAUUUGAUGAAAGUAAAAAUUAUUUAACUGCUGAAAAAGAAGAAUGCAUAAUGCAAUAAUGCAAUGUAUAGAGAAUGUAUAAUACAGUGUUGAUAUAUGGUUGUUAUUAGUUGUGUUUUCCAAUGCUUAUUUGUAGCAGUUCAUAUUAGUGAAGGUCUCACUGAUUACCUAAAUAAACCAAAUGAAAUAUAGGCAAUUUGAAUUAAUUAGUAAUCUUUAUUUCCUUGUGUAUGAGCUAAUGGAAAAUUUCUACAAAGGAGAGAGGGAGAAUAUGAAGAAUCAAUGUUAGAUUGUUGUUCCAGGAUUAGAUUUCAUUCCCAUCUGAACUUUGGCAGUCUUACAAAUCAGUUUCUAAUUUUGUGAAACUUAUGAAAAUUGUUCUGCAUGCCUACUGUAUAAAGUUUAUGCAUCUUUUGUCAGUUCAACUAAAGAAAAUAACACAUGCUGAUUUUACUUUAAAUAUUAAAUAGUAGCAUUUUUACGGAAAAGCCUUACCCUACAACCUACUGAGGAUGAUUUUGAUCAGAAGAUACAUAUUUAUUGAUCAAUCGUUUAGGUUUUUCAAUGAAAUUUUUGAAAUGCAUUUAGAAUUAAAUGCUUAACAGAAUCAUUUAGAUCUUUAGAAGUUAAGGAUUUUAAUCAACUUGCUUCAAUUUCACUCAUUUAUGUAUAAUUUUCUUGGUGUCUUUGCAAUUACAGAUACCAUCCAACACUUAAGUACAAAGAAUUCUGUACACUGGGAUGAUUCUAUUGUCAUUAAACUUGUUUUGACCGGCAUUUUAAGGAACUGAUUUUUCUAAACAAGAUUUACAAUCAGCAACAAAGAUAAAAAGAAACAAAAGAAAAGAAAUAAAAACUGCAGAAACAGGACAAGACAAAACCAGCAAAAAGAACAAAAGGAAACCAAAAACCAAAAAGAACUAAAGCGGCAAAACCAAACCAAAGAAUAAAAUAAGGCCCAAAGCAGCAGUAACAGUUUAAAAAAAAAAAAAAAAAAAAAAGAAAAAAGAAAAAAAGAGCAUAAGAAACCAAUUAACUUAGUCUAUCAUAUCAACGGCUAUUUACAUUCACAAAAUCAAACCACAUACUCAAUUUACAGUAAAGUGAAGAAAACAAAAAACGAAAUUAUUGACAGAGCUUUAACUUUAACAGUAACAAAAAUACCUUGCGAUUUGCGAGCCACAGAGCUAGUCUUGAACGAGACACAGAGCUUGUCGGCGGAGAUCGCCGCUCUUGAGGCGCGCUCGUCACUCGUCGGAUAAAAGGCAACAGGCAAAUCGAAGAUGAGAGACUAAGGCAACAAGAGAAAAAAUCAGAUCGAGGCAAAACUACUGCCUCGCGAAGAACGAAUUGAACUUUGAUUUAAAAAGUUAAUUCAAAACGACGUGGUUUGGUUAAGGCAUUUUCUGUGUCAAAACUUCGUCGUUCUGGUAGUGAAGUGUUAGUUAUUUUCUUCCUUUCUUUUUCUGGCCUAAUACAGAGAGAUAAUUAAAAUUUUAUGUAAUUCAGUUAUAAAUUUAAUUUUUAUAUCUGAUAUGCAAAAACUAAAAAUUUAAAUUUUGUGAAUUUAAUUCUAUAAUAUAAUUAAAUUAAAUUUCAUAAAAAAGUGAAAUUUUAGAAUGAAUUUCAUAAAUUUAAACAAUAUAUUUUCGCAGAUAAUAGUAGAUAAGUUCUUGAUGGGCUUAAAUCUAUGUUUCUGUAUUUUACACAACCAGCAAUUGAACAGAAAAAAAAAACAUUCGACCAUAAAAUGACAAGCAUCUAUUCCAAUCAAAAUUAUUAGUGAUCCAAGUUAUCAAAUGGGCCUCAAAUAUACACAAAGCCCAAACACAACAGAUACACACUCAUCAUCCUUAUAUUUAUUCAUCAAGUGGGCCCAAGCCAGCAGGAGGCGGUUACCAAAUGUACAAAGUUAAAUAUAUAGAGUAGAUACAACAGCUGCUAGCAUCUGCUUCUUGAAUGUUUUCACUGUAUUGAACUAUUCUACAAUACAAUUUUUGUCUCCAUUAAUACACUGUUUCAGUUUUCUCUUUCUCUGGUGAAGAAUGCUUUGAUAAUCUCAUCAGUUAGCAAACCUCAAUAAUCUUUUUUGUUGUUAAAAUUUUGAUUAACAGCCUAGCCUGAUAUGGUGGUGACAAUUCUAAAUGAAAACAUAACCAAUAAUUAAAAAAAAAAAAAAAAGAAAUAAAAAUACCUAUGCUUUUAUUGUGUUUCAGCCAUUCAUUUUGUUAAGAUUUGAUGGGAGGUUUAAAUUGAUAUAAUCUUAAAUUCAUAUAUUGAAUUGAAAAAAUUACGAAAUCAAAUCGAAGAAAAAGUAAACUUUCUUUUUAUUUGAUGCAAAUUGAAUUGCUUAGCGUGACUAAUAAACUACAGGCCCAUUUUGGCCCAUUCUCCAAAUUUUGGGCCCUCAUACUGGGCCUAAACGCACUCGUACUUUUACCCAAUUCCUCUUUGGCAAAAACCCAUAACUAUAAAUUUCCAUCUAUCUCUGGUAGGAAAAAGAUAAAAUUCCAACUAGUCCAUGAGGUUCAGCCAACUGUACAGUUUCAUCCCAAUAUUUAAAAAUAAAAGGAAUUAAGGAGUCCCAAAAUUUAAUUCCAUUAAUGAAAUAAUAUUUUUAUUUCCAUAGACCUGGUUUAGGUAGGUCUAAACCUUAUUAUAAUUAAUAUUAAUUAACCAAUAGUCAAUAAAUAUUUUUUUGAAAAAUAUAAUUCAUUAACUAUAAUAUCAAACAUUACGAAUAAUCAUAUAGAUCAGACAAUGAAUUUUACUAUCAUAAGCUAAUAGAGUUCGUUGAUCUUUUAACAAGCUAAAAUAAUUAUAUAUAUUCUUUUGAAUGAUAAUACUAAAUAUAAGAAAAUAUAAUAUUAUAUCUUUCCACUUGAAGAUGAUCUUGAUAAAAGAUAUAAAUAUUCUUAUUACCAACUAGUUUUUUAAUUGAUUUGGAUAGUAAAAUAAUAAUUACUUUGGAUCUUUUAUAUCUGAAUUGUUUUUAGCUAAAUUGUUUUUUCAAGGACUUGUAAUAUAUAACAUACACAUAUGAAUUCUCGCCAACAUACAUCAAUAGUAUCAAUAGAGGAACAAGUCGCACUAUUAGACUUCGUUGAUCAAAGAUUCACAUUUACAAAUCAAUAUCAAAAGUUUCCAACCAAAUAAAAUCAAAUAUUAUACUUUUAUUUAUAAUAAACUCUCAUACAGAAGGAACAAAAAGCUCUAAAUACGGAAACAAAAUAACAAUAAUAAAAAUCAAAACAAAUAUAUUAUAUGAUAAAUAGAUAUGAAUUUAUUAAAAUGGCUAAGAGAAUUUAAAAGAGAAAAAGAGAAGAAGUUGAAUCAAAGGAAAAAAAUAGAAUGUAGGAGAUUAUCACUAAUCAACAUCAAGCGGCCACAAACUAAAUUUUUAAACAUUUUAUAAAUUUCAAUCAAUGACUUCGUUAUUUUAGGUGUCUCGUCAUGCCGAAGAGAUAAUAAAAAAUCAAAAUUCGAAAGACUCAAGAAAGAUCAUCUUUUCACCAUUCAUAUUUAAAUAUAAUAUAUAUAACGGCAGAGCUUCUUAUGGUCGAAAGGUCGCUGGGCAAUUCUAAGAAAUUUUUUUUAAAAGAAAAAUUCUUAUGAAAUAUUAUAUUUUGGUCUUUAAAAAUAUAAAAAAAUUAUAUUUUGAUACCCUAAAAGUUUUUAAAACUUCAUUUAGCUUGUUUAAAGUAAUUGUCUUAGUUCUGUGCUGAAUAUAUAUAUAUAUAUAUAUAUAUAUAUAUAUAUAUUAAAUAUUCUAUGUAUUAUCCCUAUCACAUUUGCAUUGAUAACCAGGACAAGAAGCUUGUAGCCAAAUGUUAGAGUACUGACAACUAAUUCCCACUGUGAAAUGUUUUAUUAGCCUCUGAUCAUCAAUGAUUAAGUGGCCCACUUGUUUUAAUUUGUCCAGAACUUAUGGAAUAAUUAAUCAAGUAUUAAUAAUUAUUUUUGGAAGCGAACAUUCUAGAUAUACCUUUUUUCUCUUGUUCAGCUACUGCAACAUUUUUGUUGGAGAAUCAAGAACUUAUGGCUUAAAAUAUUCGCAUAUACUAUAUUAAGUACUCCCAUCUUCAAAAUAGUUCAUUUUCUAUUUUUACACAGAUUAAAAAAAUAAUAAUUAUUAUGAGUUUUGACAAUUCUAUUCCUAUAACUUUUCUAUCAUACCAUUUUAAAUAACAUAUGAGCAAUUAUUAUAUUUAAAUAAUAAGUAAAAAUUAAUGAGGGUUAUUGAAAAUAAGAAAAAAUUUAAUAAGGGUAUAAUAGACAAUUUCAUGAUUAACUAUAAUACAAAAAAGAAAAAUAAACCAUAUUUUAGGACAAAUUAAAAAGAAAAGAUGAAAUAUUUUUUUGAGGCAGAUCUAUUAUUCUUCUCACAAUAAUGAUUUUAUAAGUACAGUUUUUUUUUUUCUUUAUACUCAAAUGAUAUGAGAAGCUAAUUUUAUAAAAAACGAAGAUUAAUUUGUCUUUGAAUUUGUUUAAUAGGAUAAAAAAUGUCAAGAUUUGAUCUUUUUAGAUCAAUUUAACAUCUAAACUUAUUUAAAAUAAUUAAAAAGAUCAGAUUUAAUAUUUUGGAUUAAUUUAGUCCCUGACUAUUCGCUGUAUUUAUAACGUGAGAAUUCUUAUAUAGACAUUUAUUAAAAUUAUAGUUGGAAUCACGUGGUAUAAUUUAUUGAAAAAUUUAAUUAAAUAUCAAAUUGAGGAAAUAAUAUAUGAAAUAUAUUAUAUCCCUCUUUAUCUUGAUCUAUCAUUUUAAAUUCAUAAAUAUGUACUAAUUUAAAUAUUUUAAAAUUGAACUUUACUACUAGAUUAUUGCAUAUGCAGUUCAUGCAUUUCUCAUGUUAAACGAAUUCAAAGUUACACUACAUAUUUUAUAAAUUUACUGUGUUAAAGAAAUAAUAUUUUCGUGAUUUUAAAAUUCUAUUCAGAAGUAUUGGAAAAGUUUGAUCUAGAUAUUCCUAUUAAAUUGAAUCAAUUUAUUAUUUUGUAAAAAUCAAAAUAAAUUUAGUGGCUGAAUUGAUUUAAAAAAAAUCAAAUCUGACUUUUAAAUCCCAUAAAUAAGUUCGUGAGCUAAAUUAGUCUUUAUUCCAUUUUAUAACCACAAAGUCGUGUUUAAAAUUUUAAACAAUAUGGUUCUUAUGUUGCCUGUAACGGUUUCGUAUGCUCUAGUAGCUUUCUCUCUUUUGUCCAAGGUUUCUUGUCCUGCCAACAUGGAGAGGGACUUUAAUCAUUUGUCAAUCGCUGAUGAUGAGGAAGAAGGCUUGCCUGUUAACGCAUCUUCAGAUGCCACCAAGUCUACCUACGAAUUUUGUCUUGUCGACAUGUUCUUGACUUGCGGGACUGUGAAUUUUUAGUCCAUGCGAAACACUUUCGCAGAUUUGUGGCAUUCGCUCGGAGGGAUUAUAAUUACUGAUUUGGGAGCCAAACGUUUUCUGUUUCGGUUCUACAACAAAGUGGAUUUGGAUAGGGUUUUGAAUGGUGCCCCAUGGACUUUUAAUCGACACUUGCUGGUAUGGGGUCUGAUAAAAAAUGAUGAGGACCCGCUGCUGAUUCCUUUGCUAUACUCGGAUUUCUGGGUUCAGGUACAUAACUUGCCGGUCGGGUUAAUGUCUGCGGCAGUGGCCAAAUCAAUAGGGAAUUUCAUUGGUACUUUCAUUGAAUAUGACAUUAAGACUGUUCAUUUUGAUCCCAAUCAAUUUAUGAGACUGCAGGUUAAGUUGGAUAUUCGUACCUUUACGUAGAGGAAAGAAGUUGAUUGAUUCUAAUGGUAAUGUUCAUUAUGUCCAAUUCCAGAAUGAAAAACUUCUUGUGUUUUGCUAUACUUGCGGUCGCUUGGGACACACCGAUUCGUUCUGUAAAUUACAAUUGCACAAGUCUAAAAAAGAACUCAAGCCAGCUUGGGAUGAUCGAAUAAGGGUGCCGAUUCGCCGGAAAAUUCAGCAAACAACCAUGGCUGCAUGAUGAUAGAAAGUUUGAUGAUACUCCAAUCCAGGCAGAUAUUUCGGGAUGUGUGGGCGGGAAAUAUGGAGUUUUGAAAUCCCAACAAUUUUGAGCUUCCUUUUAUGGCACGAUAGUUAAUUUUAAUGUUAGUACUAAUCCCAUAGGCUUUAUGGAGACUGAUACAAAUUCUUUGAAUGGGUCCAAUACUGAUGGGCUUGACGAGGAUGUGGUCUUAGAAGAUGUGGGUGAAAUGAAGAAGAGGCCCCGAUGAUCCUUUUUGGUGAGGGUAUUAAAGUGGCUAGUGAUCCUUGAGGAGGAUCCUUUUUGCUGUAGAAUCAACGUGGUAGCUCUACUGUGGAUAUUGCCGUGAAGUACCUAUCGAAUUGGAGAGAAGUGUGUCUGCCACAUGAAGCUGCUGUGACGUCCAUUUCAGUGCUUCAUUGACAUGCACAUAAAGCACCAUCCAUUCACGCUCACAAUUUUGUUUGGAUUUGCUUCAUUGAUGGAUCAGUGUUCACAACCAUGGAUUUCAUUGGCUAUGCUUAUGUUAUUGAGGACAGUGAGGGACGGUUUCAACGUGCAGUGUCAGGGUUUCAGGAAGGCAAUGGCUCGGCGGUGGUGAUGGAGGCUAUAGCUCUUCGUUCCUGCCUUUCAUAUGCUCGUGAUUUUCUAUCUUUAAAUGGGUGUAUUUUUUCAAAUUGCCAAAAUCUUAUGAAUGCUCUCAAAUCCCAUUGUUUUAGAUAAUUUUGAAUUUGGUUUGAUUGUUCUUGAUUGUAAGCGAAUUUUAGAGUCUAGACAUGAUAUUACUGUCAGGUGGAUUCAGAGACAAGCUAAUAUGGAUGCUCACACUCUUGCUAGAGCAUCUAUACAUCAUGCUCGUUUCCAAAUUUGGGAUGAUGUUCGUCUUGUUAGUUAGAUUUUUUCCAUUGAGAUAAUGCAAUAUUAUUUCAUUUAAAACAAAUUUAAAACAAUAUAUAAAUUUUAUCAAACAAAUUUAAAUUAAUAACUCUAAAAAAUUUUAAUUUUUAGAUAUUAAAUGGUGUUAUUAGAUGUAAACUAAAUUUAUAUUGUUAUUUCAAUUUAAAUGUCUAAACAAAAUUCUCAAAUUCUUUUUUUGUUAAUAUUUUUUUGGAGAAAUAUAAUUCAUUAAUAAUAAAAGUAUUACAAAUACUCAAUUAGAUCAAAUAUAAAACUUAUUAUCAUAAUUAAUAAAAAGUUCGAUGAUCCUUCAACAAUAAAAGAAUUAUCUAUAUUUUUUUGAAUAGUAAAACUAAAAUUAAAAGAAACAGUUGGAGUUUUCCGCUUGAAAAAAACUUUGAUCGAUAUAAAUCUUCAUAGUAACAACUGAUCCUUUAAUUGAUUUGGACGAUAAAAUAACUUUUUCGAACUUUAUAUGCUUGGAUUGCUUUUUCAAAAAUUUGUUGCAUAUAACAUAUGCGGAUGAGUUUAAACCACUAUGGGUUAAUAGCAUGAAUGAAGGAACAGACUGUACUAUCAGGUUCCAUUGGUUGAAGAUACACAUCAGUAAAACAAGAUCGAAAUUCUCCAAUCAAAUAAAAUCAAAUGUCAUACCUUUUAAUAAUAAAUCUUCACAAGGAACUAAACCCUCUCAAAAGAAUGGGCAAAAAAACUCCAAAUAUGGAGACAAAACAAAUCAAUAACAAAAACAACAAUAACAAAAAUAUAUCUAUUAGAAGAAAAUGGAUUUGAGUUUAUUAAAAACAAAUAAAAGAUUAGGAGCCAGAAGAAAAAAAAAAAAAGUAUGGGGCUACUACUGAUUAACAAUGGCAACCUCAAACAAAAACUAUGAUUAAAUAAAUCAGAGAGAAAAGAGGAGGAGAGAAACCCUAAAACUAUCGAUUUUUUUUUUGUUAAUAUUUAAAAUGACGGUUUUUUUUUUUUUUUUUUUUUUUUUUGCGAAUGUUAAACAAAUCCCUAAAUAGUAUAGGUAAUAAAAUAAAAAAAAAUAUGUAUCACUUUAAUAAUAAUUUCAUGUUAAAAAAUGUUGGAAAAAUAGAGCUCUUGAAUAGGAAAAUCCGGUAUCGAAUUUUUGCUCUGCUAGGGUUUAUCACUUUAACAUUUAAAAAAAAAAAAAAACUAUUUUCAAGACAGUUCAUUUUCUAUUAUUUCUUUUUAAUAUUGAAUAUUAAUUAAAUAACUUACUUUUAAAAAUAUUUUUCCUUGACUUUUUUAAACACUUUAAAUAUAGAAAAAAUUCAAAAAUAUUUUUUAAAUAAAUUAUUUUCAAGAAAAAAUCUUGGAUAAUGGAAAUUUGGAAAAUUAGAUAAAUAAUAAUAAAACCUUAUGCACAGCAAACAUUUGUUAUAUGGUGUCCCAAGAAUAGUAAAACUUGUGGCUGAAUUUUGUAUUUCUUUUUUAGAUCACUCUCUAUCACGCUCUUAACAAUUCCCAUUUGCUGAAGUGGUCCCCAUAAAAGUAUUCUUGAUUGAGAUUUGAAUACGAAUUUCAAUUAAGUAAGCUUCAAGUUACAAACAUCAUCUUCACAAAAUUUCCUUCAUUGGUGAAGCAUUUAUCAUUUGGUAAGUUUUCUCAGAUUUAACACUAUGUUUGGAAUUGGGAGAUUUUAUGAUAGGAAGAAAAUUUUGAAUGGAAAAUAAGAAAAGAAAGCUAUUUUCCUCCUGCUUAAAUGUAAAUAAAAUUUGAAAGGAAAGAAAAUAUUACCAAAAUCCUUUCUGUCCCAUAUUUUAUUAAUCUCUCCAAAUUGGCGAGAAAAUAGGAGAUAAAUGUAUAAAAGGAUAGAAGUGUAAAUUUACAACAAUACAAUUUUCUUUCCUCCAUAUUUUAGACUUUUCUAAAUAAUAUAUAUAUAUAUAUAUUUUUUAUUUUUUUUUUUCCUUUCAAUCUAAACAUAAAAUGGAAAAUAAAGAAAAAAAGAGCUCUUGUUUUACUCGGCACAUGUACAAAAUAUAAGACAUCAAUGUGUUGAACAUGCAAAUCCCAUGCAUGUAUCUGCCAUGCAGGGAUUCAUAAUUAGCUCAACUGAAAAAUUGUUAAGAUCUUUCUUCAUUGUCUUUUUGUCAUAUAAAAAAACACGAGAAAAAUAAAAUAAAACAAGAAAAGGAAGCGCAUGCACAUGCCUGUAAAUGUAUAAUAUACAUCCAUCCAAAUGGGCAAAGAUUAGAUGCCUUCUCACCAUUUUUCCGCGCAUCCAAAACCGUAAGGGGCCACUCACACUUGAUGUGCAGGAUACUUAAAUCAGUUACGCAGCCAGAAAAUUAAAAUUAGAGAUAAAAAAAUUUUCAAGAGUUAACAAGAGUGAGAUUAAAAAUUUUAUUAUUUUAAAAGGAAAAAUAAAAAAUUUUAUUAUUUUUUAUUAUUAGACUAAUUUUAAAAGGUAAAAUAAUAUAUUUUCAUAUAUUAUUAGACUAAUUUUAUUUUAAAAUUUAAUAUUAUUUCUUCUAAGUAUUUUUUUAUGAAUAGAAAUUUUAAUAGAGAAUUAGAGAUCAUCCACUGGAUUUAAAAGUUAAAAUAUAUUUAUAAAUUAUUUCAUCUAUUACACUUAAAUUAUCAACUUGUAGCUUCUUCAUACAAAAUAAGGAGAUAAUUAAUUUAUCUUAAAUCUAUAAAAUUUUCAUUUGAAAUUAUUUUAAUAUUUAUUUUAUAAAAUAUUAUUAAGAGCGAAUGAAUAGUGAGAUCCAAUAAAGAAGAGUAAAAAAUUAAAAAUGUAAUAUACUCUUUUCUAAAUUAUAUAAAAAAAUGACACUUAAAAUAGAACAAAAAAAAAUCUUAAAAGUUAAACAGAAUAUCGGAAGUAUAAAUAAUAGAUUUUAUUUUUUAUUUUUUAAAAAUCGAAUUAAUCAGAGCAAUACUAACAAAAUAAUAUUGUAAAGUUACUUAGGACAUCCCUUCCUCUUAUCUCUCCGUGUGGUCGCUUUCAUUGGCUUCAUAAUCAUACACAUAUUCAUGGCCCACUUACGAAGCCAUCUCACAACCACAAAAUAUAAUUUUCAAAAGAAAAAUGACCGUUCGGACAGCUUGUUAAGUUUUUCCACACUUCUUCCUCACUUUCCCACUCUCUAUAACGGCUACAAUAGAAGGCUCUGGAACAAUCUACCUGUUUUAAGACGGCGGGACACGUGUAACCAAUCACAUGGGCUGCUUUUGCUCGAAAAUGGAGAAGAAUAAGCUGUAGUGUUACUCUUAGAUGUGAAUUAUUUGCUUCAAAUGAUGCUUUAGUUGUUUCUAGUGAAAAUAGAGCAAUAGUAAUUUUUUUUUUUUACCAUUUAAUAUGAUGUACAAUGAAUUUUUUACACUAUGUACUAUUAUGCAGCAGUUACAACAUUUUAAAGUCCAUCAAAUAGUAUAAUCCAUUAGAAAAUCCAAUAAAUUUCUCAUUGCUCUUUUGAAUAAUAUUUACUAUAUUUGUGCAUAUUAAUUAUUAAAAAAAAUUUAUUUACACCCGGUGUUUGGAUCUAUUUAUACAUCAAAUCAAUCACAAAUAAUAUUUUGAUUUAAUCAAAUGUAUUUCUAAUCAUAUAUUAAAAAAAGAUAAAAUAAUAAUUUUUUUGAUUGGUUUACUGAAUGAGACUACCCAUAUACUAAGUGUUGAUAAAAAUUUCCUUAAUUAUUAUAGAAAAGUUAGAAAUAAUUCAAUCGCUUUUCCUUAACUUACUUUUUUGCACUUAAUGUAAUAAAAAAAACUUCAAAACUUUAAUAAUGUAAAAUGAUUCUUACUAAAUUGUAUAGUUAAGUCUAAUAGGAUUGUUGAGACUUUGGUUCUUAAUUUAUGAAAUUUCAAUUUUUAUCCUAAAAAAAAAAAAACAAAGUAACAGGAAAGCUCAUAUAAAUGAACAUGCAAGAGAAAAAAAAAUCAUUUUUUAACUAAAGUAAAUUAUUGCAUACUUCCCUCCUAGAUUACUCUGAAAAAUAAAAAAUAAAAUACACAAAAUUAAAAAUAUACGAGCUUUGUUAACAGAUACAUAUUACGUACAUUUACGAUUACAUUCUUAGCAUAAUAUCAAAAUUUUCAAAAACAUUACAGUUCUUUUAUUCUAUUUACAUUGUAAGUAUCUCUCUACACAGAUUAUGCCAAAAAUACUUUUUGAAUAUCAGUUAAUCAGAUUUAAAAUAGAAUCAGGUGCAGGUGAUAUUACUUAAAAAAAUAAUAUUUCACUGUGCCACGGCAUAUAAGAUAAAAGUGUAAUCGGCAUAUAAGAAGGCACAAAAUCAAGAGAGUUGACAUGAAUGGACUGCUGUUGGGAGUGUGAGUUGGACGGAUUUGAAAUAAAGAUAAGAGGAAAGGCAUAGGUGGGACCUGUUUACUGUGCCACAGCAUGAACCGUGAUGUUUUUUGCCAGCUGGUGGACACGUGAUUCUUGAUUAGUUCAAUUACUGCAUUUGAUCAAACAUGGCCCCACUCUUUGAAUAUUUAAUUUAAGAAAAAAACCCAACCAGAACACCUCAUAUUUCCUGACUGAAAUGCUUGCUUGCUGCGGGCUACUACAAUAUAUAAGAUAUAUCUAUACUGAAACCCUUUAUCUUUAAUUGGCAUUAUUAAAAGAUUUUGUAACCUUACACCGUGGAAAUACUGGAAAUGACAAUUUUAACUCAUUUAAAUGUAAAAGUUAAUUAACAAAUUUAUUUUGGAUAAUUUAUACAAAAUAUGAAUAAAUAUUGUAUUUCUAAAAUAUAAGUCGUUUAAAGUAUUGCAUGCGAUUAAUGAAUCAAUUAAUUUCGCUAAAAAUUAUAUCACUCCGUCUCAAAAUUUAAGUUGUCUAAGGUGAUAAUUUUAUCACAAAAUAUAAGUCAUUUUGAAUAUUUUAAGAAAUUACAAAUGAUUUUUUUUCUUUCAACUGUAUCCUUAUUUAUAUUAGAUAUAAUACAACGAUGUGAGAUAAAAGUAACAAUGAGAGAUAAAUGAUAAUUUGUUCAAAUUACUCUUGAUUUUGUUAGAAAUUUAGAAAAAUUAAUUGCAUUUUUAAUUCUCGUAUAAAAAUCUUAAACGACUUAUAUUUUGGACAAAUAGAGUAAUAAACUCAACAAUAAUUUGAUUUAUGAGAAUUAAUUUAAACGAUCAAAUUAUCCUUAAUCUCAAAAUCAAGUUAUUGUAUUAUGAAUAAAGUUAAAAUUGGAAAAAAGAUUAUUUGUUAAAUAUGUUUUGAAAUCAAAUAGUUUUAUGAGUUAAAAAGAUUAGAAAUAAUCAUUUUUUAAAUUCAUUUGGUGUUAAAUUGGGAUGAUAAAUUAUCAAAAAAAAAAAAAAAAUAUAUAUAUAUAUAUAUAUUUGACAAACAGAUUGAAAGCUAGUUCUUUUGAAAGUUUACUGAGAACACAAAUUACAAGCUCAUAGUAGUUAGUAGCUUGAUUAAGGAAACCCAUGAAGGACAAAAUGACAGUGGCAAAUGCCUUUGAGACCAAAAGGCUUCAGCUUCAAUUUUUUAUAACGUAACAUUUAAUAUCUUUCUCUUUAUGAUUUUUAAAUUAUUGUAAUUGCUAUCAACAGUAUAAAGUAUAGAAAAUUCAUUAUAUAUAAUAUUGAAUAAAAAAAAAAAAAGGGUGAGAAAUGUCAUUAUUUAUAGAAUUAAUUCACACAAACAUAAAUGCGAAGCUUCAUUCUACCUUUUAGGUGCUACCAUUCACUGAAGGGGAACGCACGCAUCAUUGAAGCUCAACGCCUGUCUUUUGCACUUUUCAAACUGAAUCAUUUCAUUCGUGAAAUAAAUUGAUGGAUAAAGGGCAAUUGCCAAACAAUAUUAACGGCAAAAACAAACGAGUCUUUUUUUUUUUUCUUUUUCUUUUCUUUUCAUUAGAAUAUUUAAAGUAUUGGUUAGAGGUAUAAUUAUAAAAUAUAAUUGAUCUCAUAAUUAAUCUUUUCCUUUUCUUAAUAAUAAUCAUUAUAGUCUUGCUUUUGGUGUUAUAGUUGUUUUUUUUUUUUAAUAAUAAAAAAAUAAUGUAUUAUGUCAAUCGAAUGUGAUCUGAUUGGUAUUUCCAUUCACCUUGAGAAGUUUCAAAUUUUAGAUAGUUAACUAUCAGAGUUAUCGUCAAUUUUGCUUAUAAAACAACAAGAGAGCUACCUAUAUUAUGCAGCCCACAAAAAUUCUUUAUAAUAAAUUAAAAAAAUAUUAUUUUAUUAAAAUUGAUAUAUUAUAUUUGUUAUUUAAUAGUUUGAACUAGAAAAAUAAGCUACUAAAAUUCACACAGAUUUUCUUAAAUAUAAAUUUUUACUAUGAAAAAUAGAAAUCAAAGUCAGAAAACAGAAAUGAUACAAAAUAGACACGUAAUCAUAUUUGAUGAGCAUUUCUCAUAAUACACGUUAGCUUGUUUAGCUUGUUUCGUGUAAAUUGAUGAUCCCAUUCUGUUUCGACAUAAAUGGUAUCAUUGGUUAUUAUAAACAAUUUCAAAAAUUUUUGAGCUACCACCAUAAAUACAACUUGUAUGAUUUCAAUUUUCAAAUUUAAAAGUUAUCUAAUAUCUACUUUAUCAAUGGACCUACACCUUUCCAAAUUUCUUGUUAAUCUUAUGCAUUAGAAAAUUUAGCCAAAUAAAAUUGAUAUUAUAUAUCAAUUUUAUUUAUUUUUCAAUUUAAAAUCACAAGUUUAAUUAUCGGAAAAUGCAUAUACUAUGAAGAAAAAAUUUUUAUAAUCAACUAUCCAAAAGAGAUUAGUUUACACCAAUAUAGUAGAAGAAAAAUAGUGGAAGAACACGUGACGAUUCUAAUAUGAUAUACAUAAACUAAAAAUAUUUUAAAGGAGUCUUCACUUAUAAUUUUGUUUUCAAAAUUUAAUACUUGUAAUUUGUUUUAACCAACUAUUUACUAUUUUUAAUUGAUUUUGUAAACUCAAAACUCCAUUUAUUUUUCAAAAAAUAAUUUAUUUUUAAAAAAUAUUUUUAAAAGCAAAACAUACUUGAAAAUUUGAAAUAACACAUUUUCUAUUGUUUGGUUACAAUAUUGAAAAAUUGUUAAAAAAUAUUAAAGCUUUUAUAAGAUCGAAAAAAUUUAUAAUUAUAAAAAGUUUCACAUUUUAAAAUUUUAUUAUUUAAUACAACAUAAAUAUUUAUUACGUGCUUGAUUGUAAUUUGUAUCUAAGACUUAAUCAUAUUUUAUGGACCAAAGAUAUAUUUUGUAUAGAAUCCAGAUAGAAAUAAGAGAUUAUAUUCCUAAAUCCUUCGCUAACUCUCAAUGAACUAGCAAUCACUCCAAAAUACUUAUUGAAUUGGUAUUUCAAAUAUUUAUCUAAUAAAGAUUCCACCUACAACUCUAAUGAAAAUUCUUUACCUCUGUAUAAAAGAGGGAUCAAACUCCCUACUCACACUAUUUAGGCAAUGUAAUACCAAUAUAUUUCAUUCAAUUAUAAGUAUUUAUUAUUUAUUUACUGACUUAAACAUAAAAGUGAUUGCAGGCCUAGAUGAGACCUUUAUUAUUCGUUUAUGUCUUGCAGAUUUCUACGGACCUCUCUUUAUUUUUCCUUGUUCAUUUAUGUCUUACAGAUUUUUACAUAGGCGCUAUGGAUAGAUUUUUCUAAGUCUAUCAUUAUUAAAUAUGAGAAACAAUAUUAUAAAAAAAGAUAAAUUACGAUAUCUAUCGAUGACCGUGGUCGUGAAAAUAAUGAUUAAUUAAUAAUAAAUAUGUAUUUAUAAGUUUAUAAUAAAUUUAUCAGUAUCUGAAAAAUAUUUUUCUCUUUUAGAAAAAGAAAGUUAUAAAAAUGAUUUAGUUCUCUCUUUCUUAAGGAAAAUAUCAUCUGUUGCUAAUUUUCUUGAACACUUCAAACAUUAAAAAAAAAUCUAAAAAAUAUUAUUCAGACAAGUUAUUUCUCGAAAUUAAUGGAAUCUCAAUAUUAAUUUAUUAUUAUUUUUUCCAUUGAGAAAAAAAUAUAUUAGAUUUAUUCCACUAUUGAGAAUAAAGGAAAUCAUUUAAAAUAAGAAAGCUCAAAAAGUUAUAGCCGUAAUACUAAUAGCAUUAUUUCAAAUUUGUUUGACAUGAUGUAAUCAACCGAAAUGAUAAUUACAUUAUAUGAGUAAUUACAUUAUUUGAUUAGACUUUUUUUAAUAGCGUAGUAUAAUUGAGACUACGUGUAUAAUCUUCAUCACUUAAAUUGAUGUAAUACUCAUUACAUGAAAAAACACACAUAUUGUCUAUUACAUCAAGUAAAUGGAAUACCGAUUAUAUUAAGUCAUCCCAAUCAAAACUCUACCAUUCUAGAUUAUUUAGGCUGUGUUGGGUAAUAAAGUUUUGAGUGGCUUUUAAAGUUUUGACUGGUCAAAACGUUACUUAAAAAGUUGUUUGGUAACAUAGCGUUUGGACUAGCUUUUAGAGAUUAGAAUAACGUUUUGUGAAAAGUUAACUCACGUAACGUUUAGCUUUUAGCGUUUCAUGAAAAACUACUCAAACAGCUAACAACUAAACACUAUUAAAAUAGCAAAUAGCUACCAAAAUAGCUAAUUUUGCCGAACAUAUCCUUAAUACUACCACUUCACCACCACAACCACUAUCACCGCUUCACCACCACAGCACCACCUUAACACCCACCACAACCACUGCCACAAUUACUACUCCACCACCACCACCACCACUACUGUUCCAUCACUACUUCAACCACCAUUACCGCUCUGCAACGACAACCAUCACCAUUGUUCUACCAUCACCACUACUACCACCAUCACUGCUCCAUCACUAUCACCUCAACUACCACCACCGCUGCUGCUGCCUCAACUCCUACCAUCAUCGCUCCACCACCACUAUCACCACCAUCGCUUUACCACCACCACCAUGUGGUGGUGAUAUGAUUAGUGGUGAUGGUGUGCUAAUUAUAUUACAUAUUUACAAAAAAAAAAAAAAAGAACGAUGAUUAUAUUCCUAAAUUUUCUUGAUAAUAUUAUCAAACAUAGUAAUGAAAUCUUAAUUAAAUUACGUUUUUCAUCACAUUACUUCUUUAAUUACAUUAUAUUGCCUUACAUCAAACCAGACAUAGCGUUAGCAUGUAUAUCCUCAUACACAUCAAAACUUGACUCUAAUAUCUAUGAGAAAAAUGCACAGUUAAGCCCUUAAAUUUAAUCAGUUUUUCCAUUAAACUUUUAUUUAUGAAUAUUAAGUUUUUAAACUUUUAUUUUUUUUAAAAAAAUUAAACUCUAUUUAACCGAGAUUUAAACUUUUAUUUUUUUAAAUUAAACUCUUAUUUAAUUAUGAGUUAAACAAUUAUAAUCCCAUAUGUUAUACGCGGUUGAUGGGAAAACUUAAUCGAAUUGUUAAAUCUCUUAAACUUUUAUUUUUUGAAAAUUAAGUUUUUAAAUUUGUACUUUUGUUAAAGUGAGUAUUUAAAUUAUUUCCAUUAUCAGUGAUUUGAAUUUAUUAUUUACUCACUAUCGAUUUAGAACUUAAUUUUAACUUAAAUAAAAAUUGAAGGAUUCAAUAUUGAUAAAUGAAAUUGCAGGAGCUUAGUAGACAAAACUUGAAAAAUAAGAGGCUUAAGUACAUCUUUUACCAAAUAUAAUCAAGAGUUAAUUUACACUCACACAUAGGUGAGGAUAGGAUUAGGAUAGAAGUGUGGUAAGUGCCCGCGAACUUUGAGUUAUCCAUAUCUAUAUCUGUUUAGAGCUUUAAAAUCAAUUGUAUCUAUGUUAAAUCCGUUUAAAUACCUAUAUCAAAAUCUGUUUAAAAUUUUACUGUCCGAUCCAUUCAAAAUCUAUUUUAAAUACUUGUAUUUGAUGUUCAUAAAAUUUAAACCAUUUAAACACGAACUUAUUUAAAAAAGUAUCUUCCAUUGAUAAUGGAUAAAGUAUCAAGGAUACUCACAGUAAAACUCAUUUAAUAUAAUGGAUAACAAGUAACGAAUAUUCAAACUCAUUUAGUAAAACUCCUGAAUUCAAACGACAGGAUUUGCAAGUGAAGAGAGAUGGAACCUAAAACGGUUGGCUAUGUACUCAAUGUAGAUUCACUAACAAAGUACAACAAAUGCAAAUACCAAGUAAAAAGGAACAAAUGGUUAAGAAUUCAGACAAAGUCCUAACUUCAAAGUUCAAAGUUCAAACCAUAAAAUCAUUUCAGUAAGGAGAAAUCAAACUAAAACUUUUGAAUGUUAAAAUUUCAACUUUAACCACAGAACCAAAACCCUGUUAGCUAUGUACUAACACAAAGUGCAAGAAACACCGAGUACGAACUCAAGCACAGUAAGAUUGAGCUGGAUUGCCCAUAACCCAAAAACACUAGAAUGUGUCUGGUGUGGAGGGGUCCAGAAGCCAACUUAAAUAGAAGCAGAGGGACAACACUGGAAAUUAUGAUUUAAAAAAAAAAAAAAAAAAAAAACUAAAAAGCAAAGAGAGAAACAGACAAGAAAUAACCGUUGUAGGGGUGGCUUUUUGGGUUGGAUGCCAGGCUGACGCUUGAGCCCCCCUCAGAUGAUUCAGCUCACAUGGUCUAUCUGUACACUCUGGGUCCCACCCUCCACUUUCUCUCUCUACUACCCUCUUUGGAUUAGUUGUCAAAUGAUCCUUUUAUGUUAUCAUAUUACACACUUUCAUCCUAUCUAUUUCAAAGUUACUAACUUUAGUUAAUGAGAUUUAAUCUGCCAAAUGCAUAAAUUAAUAUCUAAAUUUUAUAAGAAGAGUCUAGUAGCACCUUUAAACGUUGAAAACUUCUUUUCGUAAAAUUAUAGCUAGUAAAUGCCUUAAUUUAAAAAACCGUAUUUAUUAAAUACUUAAACGUAUAUAAUUAUGUUUAUUAAAUAUUUAUCGGAUGAUUUAAAAUAUAAAAAUUUUAUUAUUUAAUAAAUUAUAUUAAAAGUUAUAUAAAAUGUUACACUUAUUGAAUAUAUUAUUUAGUAAUUGUUGUAAAAUUAAAAACCCUGUUUUUUUUUUUUUCAAAUUAAGUUGAUACUUAGUCUCAACUGUGCUUUUAUCCAUAAUUUUAAAUAAUUUAUUUGUAGAAACCCUAAAAACCAUAUAUUUUUCGUUGACAUAUCAUAAAAAUUAAAAUUAUUAAUUUCAAACUGUUUAAAUACUGGUAAAAUGUAAAAUAAUGCAAAUGGUGACAGUUUUUGCAACCAACUUUUUUUCUUGGAAAUUCUCUGUAUUACAAUCGUCUUUUAUAAUAUUUUUAUUAAUAUUAUUUUGUUCCAAACAUGCCCUUGUCUUAUCCAAAUAAUGCCCCGUACUCUCCUGCCCUUCUCUCUAUUCUUAUAAGGGCAGUGGCCUGUGGAUCAAAGACCACAGUCCCAAGAGAGAAGAGAAAGACAAAGCAAUUAAGCUCACAAGAGAGAAGCUCUUCUAUUUUCUAGAGUAAGAAAGAAGAAAGAAGACGAUGGCCAAGGAAGUAAGUGAAGAAACGCAAACUACCCAUGCAAAGGAUUAUGUUGAUCCACCACCUGCGCCACUGAUCGACAUGGCUGAAAUCAAGCUCUGGUCUUUCUACAGAGCUUUAAUAGCUGAGUUCAUAGCCACUCUCCUUUUCCUUUACAUAACUGUAGCCACUGUAAUUGGCUACAAGAAACAAACUGAUCCAUGUGGUGGAGUUGGUCUUUUGGGCAUUGCAUGGGCCUUUGGUGGCAUGAUCUUUAUCCUUGUUUACUGCACUGCCGGUAUAUCUGGUAAGUAAAAAAAAAAGGAACUAUUUCUCUAAGUUACUAGUACCCAAAUGGGUAUUUAUUAAGUUUUAGGUUUCUGUGAAGUUUCUUUGUGGAUUUGGUCAUUCAACUUGAAAAAUAACAAAACCCAUUUGUUUUCAAGACCUGUUUAAUAAUGGGUUUUCCUUAUUUUGGUUACAGGUGGUCAUAUUAACCCAGCAGUGACCUUUGGGCUGUUUUUAGCAAGAAAGGUGUCACUAAUUCGAGCCUUGGCUUACAUGGUGGCUCAGUGUUUAGGUGCCAUCUGUGGUGUAGGGUUGGUCAAAGCUUUUAUGAAGAAUCCAUAUAAUCAUCUUGGUGGUGGUGCUAACUCUGUAAAUACCGGCUAUAGCAAAGGAACUGCUUUGGGUGCUGAGAUCAUCGGCACUUUUGUUCUAGUCUACACUGUUUUCUCUGCAACUGACCCCAAGAGAAGUGCACGUGACUCACACGUUCCUGUAUGUUAUCAACCAUAGCCUAGUAUAGCUCUCCUCUUUCAUGUCAAAGAGUUCAAAUCUAAACUUUGUUUUGGUUAUGUUUGGUUGCAGAUUUUGGCUCCACUUCCAAUUGGGUUUGCAGUUUUUAUGGUUCACUUGGCUACCAUACCCAUUACUGGUACUGGUAUUAACCCAGCGAGGAGCUUCGGUGCUGCUGUUAUUUACAACAAUGAUAAAGUCUGGGAUGAUCAUGUAAGCCUCUUGAUAGUCAACCAGAAACUUAUUUUUCUUGAUUUUAUGGUUGUUUUGAAGUUGGUGCUUUUUAACAUAAAACAUCAGAAGUAGGUUAAUUUUCAAGAAUAUGUUUAUCUUCUUGAUAAAAUAAUUUAAUUUCCUUUUUAAUUAUUUUUUGGAUGGGCAGUGGAUUUUCUGGGUUGGACCGUUUGUUGGAGCAAUUGCAGCAGCUGCAUACCAUCAAUACAUACUGAGAGCAGCAGCUAUCAAAGCUUUGGGAUCUUUCCGCAGCAACCCCACCAACUAAAAUGAAAGAAAGAACGAAAGAAAGAAAAACAAGAAAAAAAAAAAAAACCAAAGGCUUUGUGUAGCUAUCUUUAGUCUCUAGUCUUUCUUUUUCUCUAUUUGUUUGUUUGUUGUGUGUAAUGAGAGGAUUAUGAUGAUGACCCUUCUUUCUUCUUUCUUUUUUUACUUCAUUUUUUCUUUUCUUAUUGUUCUUUUGUAUCAUUGUUAAUGAGUAGUGCUGUUCUUUUUUCUUUCUUUUGAUCAUAUUUAAUUGCUUUGUGCAGUGUAGAACGUUCUCUCUCAACACUCUUUUAAUAAUUAGCCACUAAAUAAACUACCAGCUAACUAAAUUUUUAUCCUCUCGACCUUCAUUACAGCGGUGCUAGUGAAUUUGUGAGUAGCGGUUAGGCCAUCUUCGGGAACAGUUUUUUCAUAUGGC
rnacentral:lncRNA from 1 species